rnacentral:lncRNA from 1 species
UUUUCUAGUGUAGCUGAUUUGCUGCCACAGCAAGAUGGUCCAAUUUUUAUUAGCCUAAUGAUGGAAAACUCGUUUUUUGAGCGGUUCUGUGGAUUAUUGUUAGGAGCCUUUUCUAUCAUUUUUGCUGUACUAGCCAUUAUCAUCAUCAAAAACACCAUCCUCUGUCUGUCUGUCUGUCUCUCCCUCUCUCUCUCUCUCUCUCUCUCUCUCUCUCUCUCUCUCUCUCUCUCUCUCUCUCUCUCUCUCUCUCUCUCUCUCUCUCUCUCUCCCUGGCUUGUAUGGUUGAAGAUGUGAAGAGGCUCGUAGUGAUAAUCCAGUGGUUAACCGUCAAUGACCAGAUAUAGCUAUGAGAUCUGAAGGCUUGUCCAGAGACAUUUGUUCCUCCUAAGAUAUGUGAUUGAAUCUUAAAUCAUUUUUGUUCCUCAGUUAUUCUAUGGUUGUAUUUUCUUAGUUUCCACAUAUUUAUUACACUUCUCCUUUAUUACAUCCUUUAUUUACCAUUGCAUCGAAGUUGCGACUGCGUUUCGUUGUAGUAGUGAUGCUGUGUUAACGAUCAGAUCUACUCUUUUGUCUAUUCUGUGUCUCCAUGAUAUAACUGUAGAUGCCCACUGGUUUUUGUUUUUUUUUUAAGAAUGUUUUCUAGUGUAGCUAUUUUGCUGCCUCAGAAAUAUGGUUCAAUUUUUAUUAGCCUAAUGAUGGAAAACUCAUUUUUGGAGCGGUUCUGUGGAUUAUUGUUAGGAGCCUUUUCUAUCAUUUUUGCUUACUAGCCAUUAUCAUCAUCAUAAACACCAUCCUCUAUCUAUCCAUCUCUCUCUCUCUCUCUCUCUCUCUCUCUCUCUCUCUCUCUCUCUCUCUCUCUCGCUCUCUCUCUCUCUCUCCCUCCCUCCCUCCCCCCUGGCUUGUAGUGUUGAAGAUGUGAAGAGGCUCAUAGUGAUUAUCCAGUGGUUAACUGUCAAUGACCAGACAUAGCUAUGAGAUCUGAAGGCUUGCCCAGAAACAUUUGUUUCUUUUAAGAUAUGUUUAUUGAAUCUUAAAUCAUUUUUGUUCCUUAGUUAUUCUAUGGUUGUAUUUUCUUGGUUUCCACAUAUUUAUUAUGCUCCUCCUUUAUUAUGUCCUUUAUUUACCAUUGCUUCGAAGUUGCGACUGCAUUUCAUUGUAGUAGUGAUGCUGUGUUGACGAUCAGAUCUACUCUUUUGUCUAUUCUGUGCGUCUGCAUGAUAUAACUGCAUAUGCCCACUCGUUUUUGUUUAUUGUUUUUAACCAUGUUUUCUAGUGUAUCUAUUUUGCUGCCUCAGGAAGAUGGUUCAAUGUUUAUUAGCCUAAUGAUGGAAAACUCAUUUUUGGAGCGGUUCUGUGGAUUAUUGUUAGGAGCCUUUUCUAUCAUUUUUGCUGUACUAGCCAUUAUCAUCAUCAUAAACACCAUCCUCUCUCUCUGUCUCUCUGUCUCUCUGUCUCUCUCUCUCACUCUCUCUCUGUCUCUCUCUCUCUCUCUGUGGCUUGUACGGUUGGAGAUGUGAAGAGGCUCGUAGUGAUAAUCCAGUGGUUAACCGUCAAUGACCAGAUAUAGCUAUGAGAUCUGAAGGCUUGCCCAGAGACAUUUGUUCCUUUUAAGAUAUGGUUAUUGAAUCUUAAAUCAUUUUUGUUCCUCAGUUAUUCUAUGGUUGUAUUUUCUUGGUUUCCACAUUUUUUACACUCCUCCUUUAUUAUGUCCUUUAUUUACCAUUGCAUCAAAGUUGCGACUGCGUUUUGUUGUAGUAGUGAUGCUGUGUUAACGAUCAGAUCUACUCUUUUGUCUAUUCUGUGUCUCCAUGAUAUAACUGUAGAUGCCCACUCGUUUUUGUUUUUUUUAAACUGUGUUUUCUAGUGUAGCUAUUUUGCUGCCUCAGGACGAUGGUUCAAUUUUUAUUAGCCUAAUGAUGGAAAACUCAUUUUUGGAGCGGUUCUGUGGAUUAUUGUUAGGAGCCUUUUCUAUCAUUUUUGCUUACUAGCCAUUAUCAUCAUCAUAAACACCAUCCUCUAUCUAUCCAUCUCUCUCUCUCUCUCUCUCUCUCUCUCUCUCUCUCUCUCUCGCGCGGGCGUGUAGAGAUGAAGAUAAAAAGAGGCUCAUAGUGAUAAUCCAGUGGUUAAAUGUCAAUGAAUAUAUAUAGCUAUGAGAUCUGAAGGCUUGUCUAUAGACAUUUUUUGUCCUUCUAAGAUAUGCUUAUUAAAUUGUAAAUCACUUUUCGUCCUUAGUUAUUCUAUGGUGUUUUAUCUUCAUUUCUACAUAUCUAUUACGCUCCUCUUUAUUAUGCCCCUUAUUGACCAUUAUAUGGAAUUUGUGACUGCAUUUCGUUUUAAACAUUUGCACUGAAUAAUAUGUAUUUCCCAUGUGGUGCAAAUAUCCUUCCCAAGGUGCCCUUGAAACGCUGAUAAAAUUAAUGUGAUGGAACUUCAGUCAACUGCAAAUAGUAGAGCGUCCUGGAAUGUGGUUAUUUUGACAUUGUCAAUGGCACAGUUAAGAGUUUCAAUUGGUUUGUUUUUCUUUUGGUUUGGUGUGACUAUUUGGCAACUAUUGUAUGAAAUUUUGUUUGCUAGUGCUAGUUUAGAUAUUUAAGGUGUAUGGCUAACUGUAUGAGAUUCCAUAGAUUAAAUUGUGUUUGAUGGUAGAUUCCAUUUUAGUACUCCAUUGAUCUGAUCUUUGUUGGAAUUCAAAUAAAAGGUGAAGUUAUUAUUGUAGGUUUGAGCAUAUGAGACUUUAAAAAACAACGCUGUACUAAUGAUCAGAUCUAGUGUCUUUUGUUUAUUCUGUGCCUUUCCACGUUCUACUUGUGGUUGUCUGAGUUUAUAUUUCUUGCCUUUUUUAUUUUUUGGGAUUACCUUGUAAUGUAAUCUAACAAAUUUGCUGCCUCAGAAAAUUGGUGCAAUUUUUUAUUAGCCUGGUGAUGGAAACCUCUUUUUUUUGUUAUGAUUUUUAUAGCACUUUAUAUUAUAAGACUGCAGGUACCUGAAUAGUUUUUUGUAACACAGUUUCUUAUUACUUUCAAUGAGCUUUAAAAUUUAAAUCUGGUUUUCAUUUGUGAAGUACAGAACAGUUAUGAACUGUUUGAGUACCUUUGAGCUUACUUGAUGUCUCAAUUUUCUUACUAGAUAUAUUUAUAUAAACUAAAAUCUUUAGAAUAUUUAAGAAUAUAUAUUAAUUUAUAAUUUAUAUAUUAAUUAUUUAAUUGAAAUGUAAUUUAAUGGUGUCAGGCAUUUGAUGUCAAGUUGGUUCAAAAUCCGCCAAUGUCUAUGACCAUGGUUUGUAUUAUGGCUUGUUGUGUAUAAUGGCAUAGUUUUUAAGUGGAUUUUAAAAUUUUCUUUUCCGUGGUCUGGGUUAAUUGCUAAGUGGGACUUUGGUGAACAAUGAUACAUGCAUUGGGCUUGGAGCAGUUUAUGACUGCAGCCAUUGAUGGAAAUGCAACCUAGAAAGCUAUAUAUGACCCCUGUAGAAAUCCUUGCAUUCCUGUGAUACGGGUGUUGCAAUGUUAGGAUGAAAUUUUUAUCUGCUAGUUGUAGGGGUAUGGCUGACUGCAAGAGAUUCCAUACAAGUAAAUUGUGUUUAUCUGGUAUAUUUUCAAAUUGGGUGUUCAGGACAUGGUGUUGAUUGAAAAUCUACUCAUGCUCAUGGCUACGGUCGUAUUUGUGGCGAGUAAUUUAUAGUGAAUUGGUAUUAAAAUCGAGUGAUGUACAUGCAUGCACUGAGCUCCGAGCUGUGGUUAUUGAUGGAAAUGCAGGCAGCUUAGAAAACUAUAUAUGAGCCUCCAUGAAAUCCUUUUGCUUUUCUGUUCGCAGGUGUUGGAUUUAAAAUGAAAUUUCUGUUUGGGCUAGAUUGGAUUCUUAAGGUAUGGAUUGGACUUUGUAGUAUUAAACUGUGUAUGGAAGUGGAUUUUGUGUGAUUACAAUCAUUGGAUCAGUUGCACUCCUUUGGCCUGAUGAUGGAAAACUCAUUUCUGGGAGCGGUACUAUGGAUUAUUAUAAGUAUGAGCCUUUUCUAUCAUUCUUUCCAUGCUAGUCCUCAUCAUCAUCAUCAUCAUCAUCAUCAUCACCACCACUCUCUUUCUCUCUCUCUCUCUCUCUCUCUCUCUCUCUCUCUCUCUGUGGCAUGCAUGGCCGAAGAUGUGAAGAGGCUCAUACUGAUAAUCCAGCAGCUAACCGUCGAUGACCAGAUAUAGCUAUGAGAUCUGAAGGCUUAUGCAGAGACAAAUUUUACGUAUGUAGUGAUAACAUCCUCUCUAAGGUGACCUUGCAACAUGGAUUCAAUAAAUUUUAGUCAACUGGAAAUAGUUGUGGUGUCCUGUGAUGCAGUGAUGGUGCAGGAGCAUCUGUUAGAAUCUCCUAAUCAAAGUGGGCAUCAGCCAAAAAGGCUAAGUUUUAGUUGUAUUAAAUUAAUAGGUUAUUUUAUUACUUGUUUUCCUAUUCUUACUAGGAUUUGGAUUUAAUUUCCUGUUUAGGUUUUUAAUUUCCUAUAUCAAUUAGGUUUUCUAUAUUCUAGUAUAAAUAGGCUAUUAAGAGACUGUUGUAUUUAGUUUUGUUGAUGAAUAUAAUUUCAGACUUUAGUAUAUAGAGUUUCUAUUGGUGUUUUGCCCUAGAACUCAAUUAUCUUCGUUCCAACUUCAAUUCUACUGCUUUAUCCUUCUAUUCUCUGUAUUUUUGAUAUGUUUGGGUCACUGGACAGCAGCUUAUAGCCGCUGCCCUGCAUCAAGUGAUCUUUACAAUGGCACUCUGAUCUCAUCCAUGGUUUUGUUUUUCUUUUGGUCUGGUAUGUACUACAAGUGGGGAACUGUUAUGUUUGAUUCUUGUGUAUAUGCGCUUUAUAAGCAUAAUUUGCCCAAUGAUGCAUACUUGUGUUCUUUGGUGGUUGAUUUGAUUGUCAGUAUGAGCCUUGAUGCUUGUGUUUUUGAGUUGUUGUUGUUGUUGUUGUUGUUGUGGCAAGGCUGUAAAUGAAAAUCAAAGCCCACCAUUAUUGAUACAUUCAGGACAUGAUAAGAUCUGAGGGCUUUUUUUCCUUUCUUUUCUUUUACUUGGGUAAGUGGUGUCGGGGAAAUGGAUAUUUGUCGGUUUACACGUUGAAGGUAUGUUGGCAAAUGUCUUUGUUAUCGGUCUUAUGCUUUGUUGUUUCUAUUCUUCAUCAUGUUGAUUCAUAUGUGAUAACAAGUUUGUUGCAUCUAUAUAAAUUUUCCUUUGGUUUUAAUGUUGAAACCUAUUAGCUCUUUCAACAUGACAAUGUGCAGUUUUUUCUCAUUAUUUUUCCUACUUUCUUUCGUUUGGAACUCUAUUAAGUCUGUUAAUUCAUGUGGACUGGUGGAAUUUUAUAGUUGCAGUCUAUGACAACUUGGGUGUCUUUUUUGCUUGUAUUUCCAUUGGCUCUCAUUUUGACAACUAUUUGCUGCCUCUUCCAGCAUUAAAGGUGUAUGCUCUGACUCUCUGGUUAAGAGUCCCCGUAAUGUUAGUGUUUGACUGUGGGCUGUUUAGGUAUUGUUGGGUUACAGUCUCUGUUUUGGCAUUGAGGUUUUUGUAUGCUUGUAGUCCCGGUAAGUUUUGGCCUAUAAGUUGUUUGCUUAAGUACCUCAGUCCUGGUAGUGUUUAGUGUUUUUGCCUUUAGAUUAGACAGUGGAUAACUAGGUUUUUAAUUUUCCAGGGCUUGCGAACAAUUAUGACAGAUUUUUUCUGCUUCUUUGUUAAGUUGAUUUAUGGGAUUAAUCAGUCUUGCGCUCACUUGGCAAAUGAUUUUUCCUCAGCUUUAUCUGAUUGUGUACUUCUUUUGUCUGUUAUAAUAGUUCAUCUACCUGCACCUAUUUGAGUUCACCACCCGUGGUUAGCUCAAUUUUUUUAUUUUUUAUUUUUUGAAAACCCAAAACUCCACUUUGGCCCUCGUUUGGGAUUCUGCUUCACUUUAAAGUAAGAAGUUUAAGGUGUUUGGUAAAAAUAAAAUAUCCCGAUUAUUUUAAAAGCAGUGGCCUUUUGACAGUAACUUUUAAAAGCAAGCUUUGAGUUGCUUUUCAAAGCUGCUUUCAAAAGAAGCAGAGAUGAACCUUUAAUAAGUUGCUUGGUAAGCAGAGACACCAACUGGUCCCAAACCCACUGGACUACAACUCAUUGGUCCCAAGGUUAGCUCUAUGAUGGAUGACGAAAUUUCAUCGAGCAGCUGCUUGGUUUGAUCUAUCAUUGACCUUUAUAACCCCACAACCCUCUCUUUCUCCUUUCCUCUAUCUAUGUGUGUGUGUGUGUGUAUAUAUAUCUUGGUUGUGGGGGAUGGCUUUUGGUAGAUCCCAUUAGCAUUAAGCUGUGAAUGAUUUGAUGGAAUCUAUUAGUUCUGAGGGCUUUUGGUAGAUCCCAUUAGCAUUAAGCUGUGAAUGAUUUGAUGGAAUCUAUUAGUUCUGAGGGCCUUCUCACACUCUAGUUUCUCUCAGAGCUUUCUGUAUUGAAGAUUGCUGAAACUACUGAGUUCGUGUUUCCAAUGUGUUGAUAUGAAAAUAGCCGCAUGUGUCCAUCUGAAUUUGAUUGAUUUUGCACAUCAUGGGGAUUUGGAUUGUUUAAGAUUCAAAAUUCACUCACAAUUGCAAAUUUUUUUCACCACUGCAGCUGUGUAUCCAUUUUUUUUCUUUUUUGUUUUUUCUUUGGCUAAUGAAAAUACAUAAUGAAUGUUGAAGCAAAUCCAUUUUCAUAAUUCUUGUUAUCAUGUGGUUUAUAGCACAUCUAUUUCAAUCAGCUGUUUAUGCUUUUCUGGGUUUAUGUGGAUGCGGAAGUUUUGAAAUUUGAACGGUUUUCUGCUAGGAUAUCGAUUUUUAUAUGACAGCACCUCCUUGGGUAAUUAUGAGCUGUUUUGUUUGCUCAAUUAUAUUUCAGUUUGUAAAAUUGUUCUUGUAAAAGAUAGUCAUCAGUUCAAUUCUCACUCCCCUUGCAUUCAUUAAUUUAUCCAUUGACGGCCGAAUAUUUACAUAUAUUUUUUGUUAGCUGAAGUAAUUUGCUAUUUCCUUCAUGUAUAAGUUAUUCUAUGUGCUGUAGCUGUAUGGAAAUCAUAUAUGGUUGGUUUCUUUUGGAUGAUGCUUUUGAGCAUUCUCUGAUAAUAUGCCCGAUGAUGCAAAUCUGAUUUCAUGGAGCAGUGCUUCACUUUAAGCCUCCAUUUGUUACACCACUGUGACCGUCGUCAAUGUCUUCUGCUGCUGCUGCUGCUUCUUCAUCUUCAUCAUCAUGUUUAUUAUUAUUAUUAUUAUUAUUAUAUGUGGCGAUGAUCCAGUGGUGUUCCUGAAUGUUGAUCGGCUUUCAAUGAAGUUUCACUGUCUCAAAUGUCUGAGGGCCCAAAACUUCGUUUGGCGAUUUAAUUCAUUGAUAGGCCAAUGGAUUUUACCUGUGCUGUCUAAAUGUGCCCCAUCUGUUAAUUAAUGAAAAUACAUUUACAAGCUCAAUAACAGAAAAUUAUAGUACUCUUAUUGAAAGACCACAAUAAAAUUUUCACCAAAAACAAAACACCAAUAAAAUAGAGAAAAAAAACACUUUUUUAGAAUAUAAAAAAGAACAAAAAAAGACCUGUUAGUUUGUGGUUAAGUCGCAUUACUAGGCAAGGAGUGAGUUUGUAUGGGCCAGAGGGAAGCAUUAGCCCGUCUUAAACUACUACUAGCCUCCUUUUAAGACUACUUGCCUCCUUUUCUGCAAAGAGAUAUGAGAAGGAUAUUUAGAAAAACUUUUGCACACAUGUCAUACUGUUAUUGGCAAUUAGCAAGAAUGUAUGAGCUUCUCCAUUCCUACUUACUUACAUGGUGAGGGAAGUAUAUUAAAUUAGUUUUGUUUUUGGUCAAUAGUGAGCUGUAAUGACUCACAUCAUUGCCAAAAUCUACUAACCAGUGUCAGUGUAUUUCGAUUGCCAGCUUCUGUGUGAUUAUUAACACGUAAAACUAAAACUUAUACGAAUUUCAAAUUAAAAUCUGUAAUUUGUUAUCUAAAAAAUUAAGAAUUAGACUAACUAGAAUGCUAAUUUCCGUGUGUUUAUUAACACAGGUAUAAAAAUAAUAUGAAUCUCAAAUUCAAAUUUGUAAUUUAUUAUCCGAAAAAUCAAGAAUUAGAUUAAUGAAGUGGUGAAUCUCUCUUCUAUUCCUUUUUAAACCCAAAGCUUUGGCACGUGGAAUGACAAAAAAUAAAACUAAACAAAUAAACUACUGCCGACGUGUCCAGCCUGCCGCUGACGUGCGUUCUGCUUCUCUUUUGCUUUUGUCUGUUUGUUUGCUGAGAAAAUUUCUACUUUCUUUCCCCUUUAUUCUCAUGGAUGUUAUUUCUGUUUGAUGAGAAGAAAGUAUGGGAGUGAGGAGCUACCAUCGUUUCCUUGUGCAUCUCUGCCAUUGAUUUUCUUUGUUAGAAAUGUAUAAUUAUGUUUCUCUGUGCUUUCCCUUCUCUGGGUUUUCUAAUUUAACCCAGAGAACCAAAAUGGGGUCUCAAAUUUAGCGAAGAGAACAGUCUUUCUCUGGUUUUCCCAAUUCUCAAUGGUCCCUCUGCCUCAACCAAGAAAACCCAAUUACGUUUAAGAUUGAUUUUUCACUUCUGGAUUCAUCUCUCUACGUCUUUCUCAGAGAUUUGGAUGUUUCUGUUUUUUUAACACAUAGAUUAAGGAGGCUCUUGAAAUUGGCAGAAGUCUGAAGCUUUCGGCUUGAAAAGGAGGUAAAAUCUUCUUAUUAAAGACUUUCGAUUUUCUUUAAGCAUUUUUCAGUGGCGAGCUCCUAAUUUUUGCUUAGUAACUACAGACUGCUACACCACCAGCAGAAAUUUUUGGGAGAGAGUGAAUGAGUAAAAGGUCUUACAUUUCCCGUGACGCUUAAAUUGCUUAUGUUCUAGAUUCUAGUAUGUGUUGCAACUAUUAGCAUAUACAAAUGUUUUCUCUACUAGGGAUUACGUAGAAUACAAUUUCACUUGAAUUAGAGUUAGAUUGUAUGAAUAAGAAAGCAUUUCUGAGUUCUCUUUGGCUACUCUGCUACAUUUUUAGAACCGUAAAUUAUUGUAGAGUAGAUUCUGCCAUUAGAGAAUAUAAGACCUUUUUUUGUUACUGAUAUUAAUACUAAUAUGAUUGAGCCGGCAAAAUUUGAAAAACAGAAGACAUUUCUGAUUAUGUGGGUGGUUAGUCAUGAACUGUGAUUCAUCUUGUGAAAAUCCCACAUGCAUAAGCUGUCUUGCAAUAAUAUUUCUUUUUAUUUAAGCAUAUGGUGUUUCCAUCUAACUCUAAGCUUGAUUUCUCAUUGUGUGUCCUGCAGGGCAGUUUCAUUUUUUCCACAGGAGGAGGAGAUGGAGAUAAACAAAGAAAACAGGAAACGUCCUUCAUCGGACUCUCUUGUACAGCAAAGUCAAUGGCAACUGCACAAUUCUGACCCCCCAACAGUUGCCUUUGCUCGUUCUAUGGAUCUAAAUAGAGAAAACAAGAAACGUGCUUCAUCAGACUCAUUUUUACAGUGGAGCCAAUGGCAACUGCUCGAUUCUAUCCUUCCAACAGGUGGUUUUGCUCACUCUUUUGGUCUUGAGGCAGCAAUCCAAGCGAGCAUAGUCUCUUGUCCUGAAGAUCUCCAAACUUUUGUAAUCCAUCUGUUGGAGAAUACUGGAAGCUUACUCCUUCCUUUUGUCUAUUCUACAACAAUGUCGCCUGAUUCUGAGACCAGGCGCAAACUCGACAAAAUGUUGGAUGCAAUGUUAACUAAUGAAGUGAGUAGGAAGGCAUCAAUUUCACAAGGGUCGGCAUUGAUGAGGGUGGCUGCAUCCGUGUACUCAGAAAUACCAUAUCUUAAAUCUAUGAGGGAAGCUUCUUUAAGUUCUGGGGUUGUUUCUUUUCACCAUGCCCCUAUGUUUGGGGUUAUAUGUGGUCUGCUCGGGUUGGACAGCGCUACUUCUCAAAGGGCUUACAUGUUUAUUACAAUGAGAGAUGUUAUUUCUGCUGCAACAAGGCUCAAUUUGGUAGGGCCCCUUGGUGCGGCUGUACUGCAGCAUCAGAUUGCUCCUGUUGCUGAAGCUAUACUGAAUCGAUGGAAGGACCGUCCAGUUGAGGAAGCAUGCCAAACUGUUGCUUUGCUUGACAUUGUGCAAGGUUGCCAUGGCUACCUGUUUUCUAGACUGUUCUGUUCUUAAAGUCCCCAAAUAAAUGCAUCAAAUGGUGGAGCCUGCUUGAACUUUUCUUAAUCUUCUUUAGGAAAAGCUUCAUCCAAAGACUGAGGAAGCAUUUAAUUCAAAACUCUCUUUUCAAGAUGUGGAAGUUCCUAGUUACAAAGAGAAAAUAUGUAUUACUCAAUUUCUUUCUGGUUUUCUUUCAACUCAAAUACAGAACAGGAAAUUCAAAAAUAAGACCUCCUAAAGAGAAGCGCUUAGAUAGAUGCACGUAUUUAUGGCAAAUUCAGAACACUCAUGGAAAAUCACCCACAUAAAAUAUGUCAGUCAACAUCUACUUCACAGAUUUUCGUCCUUUUCAAUUUACUGCUGCUGACAGUAAUUUUAUAAAUUGGAACAAAUCUGUCCGGUUUUGGCUAUCCAUAACAAUGACUAGGGUUUAUGGUUUUCUUUCUGGUUUUUCAUACCUUGGGAGAACCAUUCCAAUAUCCGCCUUACUUUACCCUCUUUCUUUUUCAUUCAUUCUCAUUAUGAAUGUGACAGAACUUGGAUCUUUUAACUCUAGUUACAUCCAGUCGCACAAAAAUUUCAACAUGCUAUUUUUAUUUUUUUUAUAGAACCAAUGGUGUGAGAGGGAAAUUAAACCUAAGAUUUCGGGUGGAAUCAUCUCUUAAUCACUUUGUCUACAAGUUCUUUGCUUUUAUGUAUUUUUACAUUACUACAAGGUCUGCUAAUGUUACAUAAGUUAGGAGGUCUUAGUGUAAUUUUUGGAACGUUACGAGUUUUUGUGUAAACAUCACAAAAAUCAUGGGGUAUCCGUUUAAUUAACUUAAAAAAUAAAUCGCGGAUAAUCAAUAAAUAAAUCGCAGCAACACCAUAGUGUUCCUACAGAGAAACAGAGCCAUCCUCUGGGUUAGGGUUUGCAUUUUGCAAAGAGAAAGAUGGGGAGGAUGAUAUUGAAUAAUGCGUUGAGGUCAAUAGUGAACGCGGAGAGAAGAGGAAAAGCCACUGUGGAAUUGCAACCUAUCUCCACAGUCAUGUCUUCUUUCCUCAAAAUCAUGAAACAUCGAGGUAAACACCUCCAUUUUCUUCCCCGUUUCUUAUACGGGUUCUGUUAAUUAAUGCUAAACUAUCCAACUUUUCGGCAUUCGUAUGAAUUUUCUGCUUCUGGGUUGUUGUAAACUUAGUUUUGUUGAGAGGGUUUUGAAAUUCGUAACAUUGUAGUGAUUAAGGAUCUCUAUAACUUAGCUAGUAUGGCUCUAGGAACUCUAUUUUUUUUUCAGUGCUUUCUGUCAUGAAUAAGAUGAAUUAUCAUAUGUUUUGGAGCUACUUGGCUUGAAAUAAACUGUUGAUUUGGAACUGGAGUGAACUUGGAGAUGAUAAAGGGAAGUUUUUUUUUUUUUUUUUUCAAACAUGGCGUUGCUUCAGUUGGAAUCUAUAAUCUUAAAUCUUCUAUUUUUCCUCAAAUUAAGGGCUUUGAAAGUAAUUGGUUGUGACAAAACAAGGUUACCUUUCUAAAGAUUAUGCAACUGGAAAAGACAUCAUUUCUAAGUAUACCCGUAUACCUUGUAUUGAUGAUGCUUAGGAAUAGAGGAAUUUCUUCUAAAGUUUGGAUGACUUUCAACAGCUGUUAUAAGAACUGUGUUGGUAAGCAAAGAGGGGUUUUGUAUUCUCUAUAUAUACUAGAUGAAGGGGCCUUCUAUUUGGAAGUUGUUGAACGUACAGGAGAAACAUAAGUAGCUAAUGAAAUAUUUGGCCAUGUAAUCAUUACAUUUCUUGUUUGGUUUCUUUGGAGGAGGGAAUGAGAAAUCCAUAUUGUCUCCAAAUGCUAUUUGUUAGUUUGUUGCAUGUGUGCUGUUUCUGAGUGUGGUAUCGUUUCGAUCAGGUUAUAUCAAGGAUUUUGAAGUUUUUGAUCCGCAUAGAGUGGGGAGGAUAACGGUUCAACUACAAGGCAGGGUUAACGAUUGUCGAGCUCUCACUUACAGGCAGGAUGUCAAGGCAAAGGAUAUUGAGGAGUACAAAUUCCGUACGCUUCCAACGCGCCAGGUUUGUUAACUUCCUGAUCCCUCAAGAUCUGGCAAAAUUCUUGAUUCCUAUUUGUCCCUUUUAUUACUGAAACAGCCUGGCUGGAAAGGUCUGUGUGUUUACUUUAUGUCAUGGAUCAAUGUGUUCAAGAAAGGUUAACAUUUUAUGGUUUUCUCUCCCCCUCUCCCUCCCCCUCUCCUUGCAGUGGGGUUAUGUUGUGAUCACAACUCCAGAUGGUGUCUUGGAUCAUGAGGAGGCUAUUCGACAUAAUGUGGGUGGUCAAGUUCUUGGCUAUUUUCAUUAACAUCCUGUGGAUGAGAAGAGUGAAAAGGUUUUCCUAGUCGUCUAUGAUGAGAACCUGACUUCACCAAUGAGAUAUGUGUUGUUUGGUUGACUUUAAAAAUCAAUCUGUGUGAAUCUUGUGUACUGAUGAUUUAGAUCAAUGGAAGAACAUGAUCUUGGUUUCUCCUCUUCAAAACCCAUACAUAAUCACUUAUUGUUGCAUAGAAACAGGACAGAGAAUGGUUAUAUUUGAAUCUAAUGAAUUGGAGAGCAUGCAAUGUGAGAAUGAGACAUAAAGUUGGAAAGCAAAAAAAAAAUUGUUGGACUGCAUGGCAUUGUCAUUAUUUAUUUUCAUGGAGAGAGAUGUGUAUAUCAAGUGAAAUACGUAUUAUUGUGGUAGAAUGAGAUGUGUACAUGUUGAUGGAGGACUGAUAAAUUACAGAAUCGAUGAAGUUAUUUUUGGUCGAAACAAUCAACGAAGUUAGAACACAGUAAGAAUUUUGUGAUCUCAAUCGCAUUUCCAAAGCAAACUUCAACAAGGUAGAUGACAUAUUAAGACUAAAUGCUUUCUUAUUCCUUAAAAUUGGGCAAAAUUUCUUAUUUCAUAAAUAUUGAAAUGAUAAAUUGAACCAGAAUGUCCAUUGUCAUCGGCAGAAGAGUCAGUUGACUGACUGACGAUUAGAAAGUGAACCAGAAUGUCCAUUUUUACGCAUGUAGUUUUUCUUUUUUAUCAUUUGGUGUCUUGCACACGACUUUUGUUCUGUGAUAAAAAUAGGCCUGUAAAAUGGCAGUCUGAGUCUCACCCUAUUUUAUGGGCUAUGGGCUGGUCCGAUAUAAUAGAUCAGCUCAACUUCUCUCGUUGUGUAUAGGGCAGGAGUUUGACCUUAACUUUUGUGCUCAUGAGCAGCUUGGCAUGACCCGAUAAUUAAGUUAAUAAUAAUAUUUUUAUAAAAUAAGCUAAUAUUAAAUAUAAUCCCAAAACCAUAAAUCCAACAUAACCAAAAUCCUAAAUUAAUUUAGUAGCCUAAAUGAAUCCUAUCACUACCAGCUGAAGAAGCGUCGGCGCUGCCACACUGUCAAACGAACAAUCCUCGUGAAAAAAAAAUUGGAUGAUUUACAACCAACUCCGUCAAAUACAUGAUAGAACUAAAUUUAGAGAAGAUGAGAAGUAUUAGAGAGUGAAUUUUGAGAAAAUGAUUUGAUUGAGGACAUAGCUCAAAAGAGAUGAUGGGGAACUUCAACCUAAGCAUGACCCAAAGAAAUCAAUACAAAAAGCUUCUUAUUCAAAAUGUCCAAAGGACUUAUUAACUAACCCAAAAGAAAACGGAAGAAGGAGAGGGGAGAAGGGUAGUGAUGCUUCUUCUUCCCCCUCUAUUGAGUGUUUUCUUUGGGAAGAGAGUAGAAGAGAGAGUGCUACGUUUUCUUGAUGGGUUUUUUUGUGCUUUCUUUUUUUGGGUUAAAUUUUUUUUUUUUUAGUAUAAGCGAUAGUCUAAACUAUAAAGAGAUAUAUAUUUUUUCAUACACACUACAAUGAUGUCAUAAAAACUUUGCAUGUCAAUACAAUUUUUUACUAGACUAGAUUAUGUUGACUUGGGUUAAAUUUGUUUAAGUUACCUUUACGGAAAACUUCAAAUAGGGUUACCCGCUAAAAUCCUAAAACCCCUAUUCUACCUCUAUAGCCGUUAUUCCAGUAGUGACAAAUUCGCGCCACGUUGUAUUCUCGACGACCCUAUCAAUUUGCAGGAGGAAGAUGUUGGAGGCCAAGAGUCUGAGCAAGGCGGUGGUGCCGUCCUCUCUCAUAGAGAAUCCUUCUCCUGGUAGCCUCCAGUCCACUCGCCUCGCUCUCCAUGUACUCCCCAAAACUCUAUAACCCUAACCCUAACUCUUUGGCUUUCUCCAAAGUUCAUUUUUUUGGUUUUAUUAUGCAAUUAUAAUUUCGUUGUCAGGUUAGCGAGGACUGCUCUUCUUGUUGGGUCUACAUCGCCUCCGGUUGCCAGAUUUACAAACUCCAGGUAUAUGCCCGCAUAUCAUAAUUUGAGUCUUUUUGUUUUUGUUUCUAUUAUGGUUUUGAAAGUUGGAUACUUGCUUAUUUUUUAUUAAGUUUAUUGUUGGUAUAGUCUUCAUGGUGGUGGAGCUCAUAUGUAGUACCAAAUGAUUUUUCAAUUAGUGGGACUGUAUAAUUUGGGUGUUUUUGAUUGCUUGUAGCUUUUAAAUAUGAGAGGCAUGUCUAAAAUUUGAUUUGGAAAAUUGUGAAGAAACAUGAGUUAGAUAGCCAAGUUCAAGUGAGAAAUGUUUGUUUAUGUUCAAUAUGCAUUAGACAUUUACCAAAAUGUAAGUAUGACAUAAUUUGCUCAUAUAUUACUAGUCAAAGUGUAUGGUGGUUAGGCUAAAAGCUUUAUUUUCUUCAUUUUCUUUGUUUUUACUAAGAUUCCAUUGGAAGCUUCUCUGAUCAGCGAAGGAAAAGAAAGCCUUCUGAUCCCAGUACAAACUGAGGUAUGUGAUCUCAUGAAUUCAAUCACAGAUAUUCAGUAAUGAGUAUAUUAUGUGUUAAUUGUGUCAUCAACCCAAUGAACCCUUGAAGGUUAUGAACUCUUUGAUGGUUAACCGCUGCCCUCAUCGUUCAGAAAUUCAGAGUAUAGUUCUUGCUGAAACUGAGAGUAAGUGAUUGUUGCAGUCAGGUUUCAUUUUUUUGUUUUCUUAGGUGGCAUUCUUUGGAAUAUUAUCUUUUCACAUUUUGUGUUGGUUGUCCUUGUCCAUGACAUCAUUGUUAAAUUUUGGGACCUAACAUAUAUAGAAGAGAUGAGGGUACAUGGUACUUUUGCACAUUACUCCUCGUCUUUGACCUCUUAUUUUUUAAGGGUUUUGUGCACUUCUUUUAUUAUCCCAAUUGAAGAGUGGUGGUAACAUUUUGUGGAAUAAUUUCUUAGGCCCUUGACCGUUUUGAUGAAAGAGCAUGACUAAUUUGCACAUUUUUAUAGGAUUAAAUGUCAAACUUAGAUGAGGACAUUGGACAGAAUUUGGCUCCUCAAAGUGUUUAUCAAAAUGCACAAAAGCCUUUUGAAUGUAGAAAAUUUUAUCCUGAGGCUGACUAUCUCAUUUCAGAUAAUGGAGAAAAGUCUUAAGAAAAUGUACAAAUAUCAUUUCAGAAUGGUUUUGGACAUGUGCUCUUUUAAAGAAAAAUAAUAAUGGUUUUGGACAUUUGUGUAAUUUACUAAUAGUUUGCUAUCUUGAUAUUAAAAAAAUUGCAGGCACGGGCUAUUCAAUGUUGGGAACUGUUGAUUCUUAUGGUCAUCUUAUUGUAUCUAAACUAGAUACUACUGGUACAGGUGAAAUUUUGUAUUUAAGUUUUGAUUUGUGGUUCUAUUCUUGUUCUGGGGAUUUGUUGGUUUUGUGGAAUGUAUGCUCAUAAAUAGAAAGAAAAAUGAAGUUGGUGGCCUCCCGGGGAGAUGAUUUAUUAUGAGUCCUAUUCAACCAAAUCUCUGCCUCAAAUUUUCAUAAUGUUUGGAAUAGUUAGCAUACAGGUUUUUGCUUACCUUAAAUUGGAGAAAUAUUUUGUUAUCUUUUGGGUAGGUUAAGUUGCUUGGUUACCAAUGGCAUGCUGGUGGAACUUUGGUUUCUUAAGUUACUCUCACCUAUCCAUUUUGUAAUAAAUUUUUUGAAUUUUUUGUUUAUGACUAAGAAUUUCAUUCACUCACAUAUAGGAAUGUUAAAUCACCCUUCUUUCGAAAUGAUGAUGCAUAAAAGUGGGGUGUCCAUUCAUGGUUUGACUUGAUUGUCCUUUUUCUGUUAUUUUGUGCUGUAAGUGAUCUUUGCCUAAUUUAACUAUUCUGUCUUUUAGGUUUCUUCAAUACUUGUUUGUUUUAUGUAACUUUACUCUUAUACUUUUAUCCAAAAGUGUCUCUAUUUUGAAUUCACCUUAUGAAACAAGAAAUUAACCAUAAAUAAAUAAUGACUCAAAAGAUACAGACAGAAAGUUUAUUUUUCAUGAAGACUCUGUAACUACACUUUGCUACUCUUGAGCAACUACCUAACUACCCUUUUUGAAUUUCACCUAUGAAAAAUAAAAAACAACUGAAAAUGAGUAACCAGAAUUGCUUAAAUAUGGAGUAGUACGUAGUUUAAGGCAAAAGGGACUUCCCAUGAAAACUUUAACCUCCCUUUCCCACUCAUGAGUAAAUAAAUGCCUAAAAUGCUUUAGCAGAAGGUAAAAAGAGUAACUACUUAUUAAUCAUCUUGACAUUGAGAUAGAGUUACAAACCUGGAGCAUGUGCAAGAGGCUAGUGCAAAAAAUGGCCAAUGGUCAUCAGAACAGAUAUUAAACUUUAAAAUUCCAAAUAGGGUUUACCAAAUGCAUCGGUUUUUUCUCCCCUUGUAUUUUGAUUAGAUACAUUCUAUGCAUCAUUUUACCAAGAAAGUUAGGCAGAAUAUUACAUCAUCAAUUGAAUUAUGUGAAAUGGUUUAAACUAUGCACAUAUUUCAGUUUUUGUUUGGCUUACUAAUUGUAGGAUUAACCUAUUAAAUUCUCAGAUGUAGAGAGGCUUACUUAUUCAGUAUUGCCUCGUGAUUGUGGCAUUGGAGAAAGUGGUUGGGCGGGGCUUUGCUUCAGUCCAACACAAUGGUCUACGGUACUGAGUGCUUACUUUUAUUUUUACGCUUAAUCUGAACUUUUGCAUUAUGUUUCAUUAGUGAGUAAUCAGCUGAGAAUACCAUAGUUGAACCAUGUUCACAAAUAUAAUAUGAAGUGCACUGUCUUCAUUCUUGAUAAUCACUUUAAUAUGUUGAACUCUGUUUGUAUUAGAUUUUAUUUUCUAGUGUUUUAGUUGUUUCUCAUUUACAAUCAAGAUGAUUGAGAUUUUAAGAGUCUUUUUCAAAUGAAACCUGGUUUUUGAAGGUUAUUCCUUUGUCUGUAAAAACUUUUCAUUGUCUUCUUAAUUUCUUUUUCUUUUUUUUCCAAAGGGGAUUUUUUUAAUUUGUGUACAAACUUUUUUUGACACAGUUCCAGUAUUGUUAAGCUCUUGGAAUUACAAAUCAAAAUCAUUACAGUAAUGCGAAUUUAUAUAUAUAUAUAUAUAUAUAUAUAUUUUUUUUUAUAUAAAAAGUGGUUUGGCAUUAUAGGCCCAAGUGUUAUUCAGAGAAGCUGAGUUUAUAAGAGACAAUGAUGUGCUGACUACUAUAAUUUUACAUUAUAAAUAAAAGUUGGAAGGAAACUUUUAUUAGUCAUAUGGAGAUGUCAUUCCUAACGAGAAACAGGACAGAUCUGCUUUUGCCGGUCCCUUCCUUUCUGAACAUUUAAUUAACUCAAUAAUUCUUGGGAGACUAUGAUUUGUUCUAUGAUUUGUUCUCUGGUUAGAUUUUCCUACCUGUACUUCUCUAUCCCUCUUAAUCAUCUCUUAUUCCAGGCAGCUGUUGCACGUAGCUUCUGCAAAACCAUCGAUGUUUAUGACCAGGACAUCCAUGUCAGGACAUUAUGUACGUAAGUGUUACAGGUGGUGCUGGAAUAGUUUUUUUGUUAUUUCUAGUGGAAAUUACCAUCCCUGACACUAUUUAAAAAAAAAAAAAAAAAUUCCAUAUAAUUGCAACCCUUGUUGUGUCAAGAACCUAGAGUGUUUGAAGAAAUCACUUCAGCUGGGAAAUUCAUAAAUGCCAUCUUCUGAGCCCUCAAAGGGAGAUUGGUGCCACAAAUCUGAAAGUCUAUUGAUCCCAUACAGUCAUUGCUAAUGGAUGCUUUUCCAACAUCACAUAAUUUUAUGGUGUUGUGCAUUUGUGUUCAGCAUUUAUUUUGAACUAAUCAACAAACAGAGAAAUGUUUGUGACCAAUAUUAAUGAUUAUACAUGAUUUCUCAUUGCAAAAAAAUUUCCUGGCUUGAAUUAAAUCUUAAAAUUUAUUUUACACUUCACUACAAUCAAUGUGAUGGUUUAAUAUGCUUUCUACCAAGCAAAGAAGCGCCGAAGUUUCCUCACUGUGAUUUGUAAUAUUUUGAAAGGUAAAACAUUAUCACCUCUGGUUGUUUCUGGAACCGCCAUAUUGUCUCAAUUUACUACUGCAUAUUAUGCCAGGAUGAAAACAAAAAAUUAAUUAAAGAAUUGAAGGUGAAAUCCCUCUUUUAGUCAAUAUUUGUUUUCUAUAUUUUGAAUAAUUAUAUUGUCAUGAAAAGUUGUUGGCUAUCCGGCUUGUAUGACUAGUUAAUGAAAAAUGUGUCUAUGUAGAUUGCAUACAUGAUUUGGUGCACCCUGCCCAAAAUUUUCAUUUCACAUUAAUGGUUGACUGAUCACGGCUAUAUUCAAUGUAGGUUCUGCAGCUAUUCAGAAAACCUAUAUGCAUUACCUAAGAUCCUUAUAGAGCUUUCAGUCAACUUGUGUUGCAUUACUUUUAUGUAAAAAGAUCUUUGUGGACCUUUGUUGUUAACAUAGCCAUUUUACAGACUCUGGUACCCAUCAUCACUGAACUUCACAAAAAGUUCGCAUUAUGGGAACGAGGGCUCUAUAUUAGCAAUCACAGAAGGUUCCCAGGUAGAACUUUUAUGCUUUAUGCAUUUUUAGGUUUUCAAAUGUUAUCACGAACUUUAUUCUUCAGUUAUGCUUUAAUUGCUCAGCUUCAUCUAUUGGAAUAACUGUAGCUGACUAUAUGGGACUUGAGAAUGAAAGAAAAUGGUGGCUGUCUACAACGAAUAUGCGGUUCCCUUGGUGAUGCGUUUUAUGCUGUUUGCAGUUCUUCAACUGGGAAUAUUGCAGUCGGUGGAGCUGAUCGUACAGUGACAAUCUAUGAUCCUCGCAGGUUGGUACCAUUUGGUUCAAUAUCAUAUCCAUGUUAUUCAAGUUACUCUUGGUACUUUGAUUCUUGUUGAUUUAAGAUUUUAUGUUUUCCUCUUCAGAAGUUAAGGAAAAGAAAUAGAGCAUUAGUUUGUCUUUUUGCUUUUUCUUUUCCAUUCUGCUAGGAACUGAGAACUGGAACCUGAUAUAUGAUAUGUUCAUUUGAUGUAGAUGGUCAGCAUUAUCAAGAUGGGUGCACUGCUCAAAAUAUGAGGUCAGUUUUAACCUAUGCUGCCUUGUUUUUGUUUAUGCUCCAUUUUACAGUUAUUUCUUUACAUUUUCACUCAAUUUUUUCUCCUUUUUACAGUGUUAUUUUUUUGCUCUUUCAUGUUGGUAUAUGUGCAUUAUUGUUACAAUACCUAGCUUGCAACUACAGAAAUUAAGAAUCCACGUAGGUUUUAUUGUCUGAAAAGGAUCUCGGACUCCAUAUUCCUUGUUUUCUUCUCCAUGUAUUCACUUAAUCAUGGCUAUAAUAUGCUCCUAUGUGCACCAUACAUGACUUGCAAAUAAGUUGAAUUUGCAAUCAACAAGAAAUUUGAUUCUUAGAAGUGAUACAGGGUUUGUUAAAGUUAUUGCAAUGUCAAAACUAAGGACUGGUUUUGGUUUUUGGAUUGGAAUUAUUAAUGAUAAUGACUGGAACUUUUGAAAAUGGAUUACCUAUGUUACACUCAGGUCCUUUACCACCACAUCAUUCAUGAAUUGUUUGUAUCCAGGGUAAAGAGUGCCAUGGGUAUGGUCAAAUGCAGAGUAAAUAGGCCGACGUUAAUUGUUGACUCCAAUCUUGAAUAUAGUGAACUUCCACUCUGUUUUUUCAAGCUACAGAAUUUCCUUCUUGUUUCAUUCUUUGCGUUAUAUAUAGCUGCUGGAGAUAACAUUUUAACUGCAGAUAACUGGGCUUGCAUUCUCUUCAGUUGACUCCGACUAUAUCUACAUACAAGGGGUUGACUAUGAGGUGAUUUCAGGUUUUUUACUUAGUGGUAGUUAUGUUUUUUCACAUGGUAACUUCAUUUUUAGGCGAAUUAUUUUGCUUAACUCUAGUAGUUUAUUUCUUUUAGUAAUCACCUUAAUUAUUUUUAACAGAUUGGUUGGAUGCAUUUAUGUUGUUGUAAGGAAAAGUUAGUGUUCGUAUUUUGUUAUGAACACGAAGAUUUUUCAAACUUCUGAUUAGAUGGUUCUUAAAUUUUUCUGGUAUUUAUCCAUCAGCCACCAUGUGUGGAAUCACGUUCACACAUGUACACACUGCUAUAAAUUGGAUCAUGAUAAGACAAGGUAUCUUUUAGGUUAGUUGUUCGUAAAUAAUUAGAUGCUAUCCAAAUCUGUCCUUGGGGAGUGGCGAUACCAUGGGCUUGCUCUUCCCAACUUAUUUUGCGACAUUGGUUCUUGCUGUCCAACACAGUUAGUAUGUAAUAACUACAUUGUACCAACUUCCUGGAAAAACAAUGAGAUCCAUUCACUAACAUAUAGAAACUGUCAUAUAUAUUUAGUAAUGUACUUUUCAGUUAUAUAAUUAUAACAAUAAUUGGAAUACCAAUAAAAUCUAUAGUUUGAAAGAAACAAAAAAUGGAGACAGCCAAAGCUCAGAACUAAGUCCUCGUUGUUUUGUGCUUCCUAAGGGUGCCUAAGCAAAUGGCCAAGAGAGCCCUAGGUGGCAACACCAGCCAUGUCAUCAUGAAGAUGAACCAUAAGACACUCAGGGGUGACAAGCUUUAUUUUCAUGUGUGGGUCUGCUACAAAACGUUUUUAUGAUUAAGAGUUCUUCUGUAAUACAAAACUUUUUUUAGUUUUUUAGCAAAGUUCUUUUAAAAUUUAAUAGAAACAUGAAUGAAGUUACUUUGGUUCUUACUAGUUGACUUGUUACUCUCAAUUCUCAUUGCCCCACCUACAACUGUAUUUGCAGGUCUUUUGUGGACAGUGGAAAGAAAGCAGCAAGGUAUUUUCAUUUAGAGGAGACUCAAACUGGCUUGGAUUUAGCAAGGUAUUACUUCUUCUAAUGAUUUGCAUGACAUAUAUGUAGACUACCCCUUCUUAGGCUAAUUCUGUUGUCCUAUCAAUCAAAAGCUUAAAUCGGUCGGAUUACAACUUUGUUAAUUGUAAAUAAACUUAUAAAUUUUCAUCUUCUUUUUAAAAUUAAGUUAAAAGGUCUGAUGAAAUUAACCAAACCAAAUUAGAGGGAAUUGGUUCUCAAUUGGGACCAGCAGUUAUCCUUGUUAUUUACUCCGUGUUAUAAAAUUUAGGCAACCCACAGUCCGAUAUCAAGUUUGAGUUUGUGUUUGCAAAGAAAAUCCAUAUAGUAGUUACUUUUUCAAGUUACACUUAAAUUAUUGGUGUCUUUCUGCCAGCAAGCAAACAUGUUUUUUUAACUGACCGAGGACAUCCAGCAAGCAAAGAAAAUCAAUAAGUUCUUGGUCUACAAUAAAUAGUGCUCUUCUAGUCCAUCCAUACAAAGACAGCGUUGCUGUGCUGUAUUGUAUAAUUGCCUUUAAAAAUCUCAAACUGUAUAUGUUAUUGCAGUGCCAAAACAAGGAUGUUCUAGGUGGAUGGUGCGACUCGGGGAGUAUCUUUGUGGCCGAUGUUGUAGCGAAAGAAAGCGAUACAAGCAUGCUGCAAGGUUUUGCCAAUGGAUCUCCCUAAUGCUGUGUUCAACUGUCAUCUCAUCUAUAUAAGAUGACUUUCACUUUCGUGCAGUACAACAGAAUUGUAAUAGCACAACCAUGCCCCCCAUUAAGCAACGAUCCAUAUUGACUUCUUACUUUUUUAGUUGUGGAAUUUAUAUUUUGUAAAUGGAAUGUAUGGUUUAAGUUUUUCUUCCUUAAAAAGGCAAGGCCAAGUCUGAACCAAAUCAAGUGUAUUACUGGUAUAUGAACUGUUUCGUGAUUGCGGUGGAAGUAGGGCAGGGUCAAAAGCCCAUAUCUAGAGCUUGGAUCUUGUUUUUAUUGUUUUUGUUUUUUGUAACUAGUUGAAGAGCUGUGGUCCUCUGUUUGAGAUGAAUGUGUCAAAAGUCAAGGGUCAAGGUUGACGGAUAUGGCGAAUGGGCUAUGCUGCUGUCUGGUUGGGGGGCUUUUAGGGUAUGGUUGGUCUGGGUUAAGCCGACCUUAAAAUAUGAAAAUGGGCCCCACCCUACUGUUGAGAUCCUCAGCUCAGUCUCCAUGAAACAGCUUUACCAGUUCCUAAAAAAGUCUCCCUUUUAUAUUCAUCUACAAGUUGCAGAAAGAUUAUGUUUCAUAAAUCAAAUUGAUGAAAGAAAAAAAUAUAUUAGCCCAUUUUGGAGACAAUAUUUCAAAUAUAAGGAUUUUAUUAAAUAUUAGAUAGAUGAUUUUUAAUUCGUAAAAUAUAGUUGUUUGAAAUUCCAAAUUUUACGUAAGAGUUCGCAAGUUCUAAUCCUCCCUUCUCUCGUUCACACGAAUGAAAAUCUAUUUCAAAAAUAUUUUGUUUAUUUAAGCUUACAUUCUUGUCAAAAUCCAAAUCCAUCUUUUCUGAACCAUUCAACCCAAGUGGAUGAUAAUUGAUAUUUAAAUGACAUCAUGGAGAAUUUAAAUAAUAAGUGAAUGGCAUCACCAAGAAUUCAAAAUUAAAAAAACAAUUUGAAGUGAAAAAAUUGUCUGUCUGUCUCUCAGCAACAGGACGAAGAAGAAGAGUGCUUUUCCAAAUAUUUCGUGAAUGGCCGCAUAUAAUUUUGACCCUCCUUGAUCAAAACGACAUCGGCACACACGUCCCAUUCCCCCGCAUCAAACUCGUCUCUGGAAGCUCUUGACUCUUCUUGAUCUCGAGUUUGACUCAGUCUUGAGGCCCAAGAAAGAACCAUAUCAAUUUGUUUUUUUGGUAUUUUUUAACAUGUGCAUAAUUGUUUUAUUUAUUUAUUUACAAAGCGAUAUUUUAAUUAUUUUAAUGUACAAAAGGAAAACCAAACUCAUACGCAAAAGGGCAAACACACUGUCUCAAUCAACUAGAUUAAUCUUGAGGCCCAAGAAAGAACCAUAUCAAUUUGUUUUUUUGGUAUUUUUUAACAUGUUCAUAAUUGUUUUAUUUAUUUAUUUACAAAGCGAUAUUUUAAUUAUUUUAAUGUACAAAAGGAAAACCAAACUCAUACGUAAAAGGGCAAACACACUGCCUUAAUCAACAAGAUUAAUCCACAUAUGUACAUGUGCGUAAUUGUUGAAACAGAUAAUAUUUAAUUGGGUGAAUGAUGGGUUUCUUUCUUGGUUUUGGAAAAGGGAAAAAAGGGGGAAAAAGAUUGAGUUUUUCUUUGGUUAUUUUGGGCAGAGAGACAUAUCCCAGAUUUAUUGUAAAAGGGAGACGUGUGAAAGAGCCAAACAUGUACAUUUCACAAAAGCCAGUCCCCACGUAGCGGGCCAUGGUUAUAACAUAUAUUCGGGCCUUUAGCCAUAUAAAUUAAUAUUUCAAGAAUUCAAAUAAAAAAUAAAAAAUAAAUUUUUUUUUUUUCUUUCUUGUUAUGUAAGUAAGAGCUUCUAUAUUCUUAUCAAUAUCAGUGUGAUAUGUGUGUAGAAGUUUUUUAUAUGUGUUUUUGAUGAAUUAUUUUUGCAUAUCCGUCAAACUGUGGUUCGUAAAAAAAAGAGAAGCAGUAUUCAAAAAUAAUAUUAAUUUCAAGGACAGCAACUUGCAAUUUAAUACAAUGGUCCACAAGUUGUGGCUGCGUCAGAUCAUAGGUCCACACACAUAUUCCUAAUUUGAUACAUCCAUGGGAAGAAGAGGUUCUAAUUCGAAGGAGGCCUUUCUUCUACAUAUGAUGACUUGGUAGAUUGUUUAGUCAUUGGUCCAAUUUUUUGUUUUGUUUUCUUGUUUCAAAAGCCCUAUUAGUCAUCUUAACAUAAUUUAAUUAUCACUAAUAAUUAACAAAUUCACACAUCAAUUUAUAUGUAAGUAUUUGAUUAACUCCUCACAUCACAUCAACAUGAUGCAACUACACAAUGUAUAAAGUUCUUGGGUGUGACUAUUUGAACCCAAAUAUUCCUCACUAUAUCCACCUUUUUAAUUAAAUAUAGUUUUCCUAAUUUAUCCUAAUAUAAAUUAAUAAUAAAGAACAUAAUAUUUAAAGCAAGAGACAAACUAACCCAAAAAAAAAAAAAAAAAAAACUAUAUCCAUCCUCAUCUCCUUCAUCAAUUUCCAUAUUUGAAAAAUUGCAUAUUAAAAAGUGAAGGGAGCUGCAUGAAGGCUAGAGGGGUCACCUCUAAGACACACAUCUACCAUCACCUUAAUUCUUCCUUUUCGCUAUACAAUUUUCCUUUCAAGUUUCACUAAUUUUUCCUUAACCUUAGUUAACAUAUUCAAGUGUAACACUUCUGUCAUACAUGUACGCACAUAUUUUUUUAACUACUUUCAUUUUUUCGUAAACUUUUUUUAAAGAUACGGUAAAAUACAAAUUUUUUAAAUCAAGAACAAAAGAUUAGAUCAAGUGUUAAUAGUAAAUUGCUUUUGAGAAAUAUUUAUUACUUUGUAUUGUAUAAUGGAAUUGACAUCUGUUUUGUUCUUGAAAAUUGGAAGCUAUAACAAGUGGAGCAUUAAGCUAUUAGUAUUAUUUUUUAAUAAAAAAUAUAAAUUAGGCAUGUCUUUUGUGAAGAACACUAUUCACGAUAUUUGUAAUUGUGUCAUGUGAAAAAAGUGAUCAAUUCCAAGAACCAGUUAGGAUACGGCGAUAUGAUGUUAACUUUUCAUAAAGAUUUUCGAGAUUCCAAACCUUCGCACAAAUACAAAAUUAAAGGAAGAUGAACUUUCUUGAAAAUCAAGCAUCCAUCAACUUCUCUCAAAAAUACUAUUAGGACAUUAUUAAAUUACCAAAAACCCUUUUGUUAUGAGUUUUUUUUAUUUAUUUCUCGAUAUAAGCGACAUUGGGAGAAGGAGUACACAUAUUAUUAAAGUGUCAUGAGAGUUCGAACCUGAAACCACUGAUGAGGUUAGACUCUGUUGGCUUGAUGAGCCUAAACGAUAUCUCGUUUGGAGCAUGUUUCACGAAAUUAUAAAAAAAGGGAAACUAAAGCUAUUAGUGAUGAAAUUGGAGAAGAAGAAACAUCCAUUUUAUGCAUUUUUUUCUACAUGAUACAUAAUAUAUUUUAAUAUUCUGUAUUAUUUAACAAGAUUGAUGUGCAAGUUAUUUUGUUUUGUAGUAAACAAGAUUGAUGUAGUAGUCAUUUAUAAUGGUAUUUAUACAGGAUUUGACUUCAACUGUCAUUUUCCAAUUAGAAAAUAAUAAUAAUAAUAAUAAUAUAAAAUUAGGACGGAGCCAAAAAAAAAAAUAUCUGAAGCCUGCCAAGUGCCAGGCUAGCUUGAGCCCAAAUUCUCAGUUUUGCAAUCUCCAAGAUGUAAUUAAAAUGGGAUAAUUGUCAUUUAAAACUUGAAAACAAUGCCUCAUUUGAAAUAAAUGUUUGUUUAGAGAUUUAAUGUUUUUGGAUAAUUGAGAUUAUUAAAAUAAAUAAAUAGAUUUUCAGUGUCCCCUAUCAAUAAUUUUCCUUUACUUUUGGGAAAAAUAAAAUAAAAAUAUUAUUAUAUUCCCUUGUUGUGUGAGAUAAUCUGCCCUAAUUCAAUGAAGAGGAGACCCAGUCAGCCUCAACUCCACGUCCUUGGAGAAUGGGGUUGGGGAGCACCAAAUCCACACGUGAACUCGUUUUCUUUAAUCAACUUGCCUAAAGAGAUUCUCUUUGUAAAGUAAUUUUUGUUUUUUUUUCAUAGGUAAUUCUCUUAUAAAUAUUUCUUUUUAUAGGUCGAAUAUUUUCCUUUUUUUCUUCUUCUUGGAAUGCAUGGUCGGAAUUAUUAUUUUACUGCCCCCAAUAUUAGGACGACCGUCAAAAAGUCUCACCACUUCACCUGCCUUCUCAAGAAAGUACAUAAAUAGAAAAAGGUGACAAGAUAAAAGAAAUGGACAAUUUUAUCAUCAUUUCCUAAAGUUUGAAAAUGUGAUCAAGCAUUUAUUAAUUACUUUGUCUUUAAUCUUGUUUUAGGAGACGUCUUUUUCACGUAGUUAAGAUCAGUUGGCUAGGAUAGUAAGCUUAUGCUUACAUCCAAAUUCUUAGUUUCUCUUUCAUAUUAUCGGUGUUCUUGCCUAUUUCGUAGUGUAUAAAUUGAGUCAUGGUACAAAAUUCUUAUCUUUCUUUCUUCGUACAAUUAAAUUUCAUCUCUUCAUCUUACCUUUUCUCGUAUCAAGCCUGUUUUAAAAGUUAAACCUUAAAAUUUGUUUAAUGGUAGAUCCUGUCCCUUUUGAUGUUCACAACCUACUAUUUACUUCAGCAGUUGAUACUGGUGCGGGACCCACAUAGCGAACAACAUACACACUGGACGGGAAUUUGACACUUCUUUUCUUCUACGAGAGAGGGACAAUUUCGUCUGUUCAAUUUUUAGAAAAGGACACACGUCAUUCCCGUCAUCUCGUCCGGCCCACAUCCCCCGGGCCCCCUCUCACUCCCUUUCUAGAAGGACCCGGUCAGUCAGUCAAUCCCUCGCUCCACCUCCAAUUUACGCGCCAACGAAGACCCAGCUGUACCGUCCACGUGUACACUCCCUCUGCACAACGACUUCGUCCUCAUCCCCCACGUGGCACAACGUCAGCCCGUCCGUGCCCCCUCACCCUCGGCGAACAAUAACACACAACCCCCACCAAGCCCAAAGUUACACGAAAUCAACGGUCCAGAUGCAACUUGAUCUCAGAUAUCUGAGGACAGAAAGAUUAACAAAAGAAAGUAGGUAAAUAAAGAAGUUAAAAGUUGGAGUUCCCAAAUAUAUACAUCGUGUUCAGUCCGUGUUUAGUUCGCGUUCAAUAAACUUUGAUUAGCAGAAAGUAAAGUAAAAUUAAUUACUGAGAUUAAGUUCCCUAAUUAUGGUUUUAAAAAAAAACUCUUAAUCUCAUUUCUUCUCCAAACCCCGAACCUCAUCCCACCAUAAAACGCGGCACUCUCUCUCCGUUUCUAUCUUACUCUCUCACCUUCUUUUUCUUCUUCUUCUUCUUCCACCUCCAUUAAAGCUCUCUGUCUCUAGGGCUCGCUUCAAUCCAACCAACAUCCAAAACCAAAAAACCAAAAACGAUUGAAUUUGAAUUUUAUAAAUUUAUCAAAUUUGGGGGUUGUGUGAUGUGAGAGAAGAAUGCCAGCGACGGAAUAUCAAGGGUCGUCAGCUGGGUUCAACAAUAUUGGCCGUUCAAUCUUCAGCCUCCGACGCGAUCAGUUUAAUUCAAUGGAAGCCCAGAGCCAUAGCGGUGGUCAAGGAGCUGUAGACCUCGACUCUUUCCAAACCCACGUCGCCGAUUGCUUCAUCCACCUCUCCUCUUCCUCCCAAGACAUCCUUUCCCUCCAAUGGCUCCGAGACCUCCUCGACGCCUUCCUCCAAAUCCAGCAAGAAUUCAAGAACCUCCUCCUCUCCUCCAUCAACAAGCCCCUCCUCUCCAAGCCCACCGUCGACCGCUUCCUCUCCGACUACUUCGAGCGCAGCGUCAAGGCCCUCGACGUCUGCAACGCCAUCCGCGACGGCAUCGAGCAGGUGCGGCAGUGGCUCAAGCUCCUAGAAAUCGUCCUGGUCGCCCUCGGCCGCGACAGGACGCUCGGCGAGGGCCAAUUUCGUAGAGCUAAGAAAGCGCUCGUCGACCUUGCCAUCGCAAUGCUCGAUGACAAGGACUCCUCCAACACCACCCUGGCCCACAGGAACCGCUCCUUCGGCCGGAACAACCCGACAAAGGAUCACCAGCAUCACCAGCAGCACCGCUCGCUGGGCCACUUCCGAUCUCUUUCCUGGAGCGUUUCACGGUCAUGGUCGGCCGCGAGGCAGCUCCAGGCGAUCGGAAAUAAUUUAUACGCCCCGAGGCCGAACGAGAUUGUGGCCUCCAACGGGCUAGCGCCCGCCGUUUUUACGGUGAAUUCGGUUUUGCUGUUCGUAAUGUGGGCCCUGGUGGCGGCGAUCCCGUGCCAGGAUAGGGGCUUGCAGGUGCAUUUCACGGUGCCGAGGAGCUUCGCCUGGGCGGGGCCCAUGCUGUCGCUGCACGAGCGGAUUCUGGAGGAGUCGAAGCGGCGGGACCGGAGGAACGCCUGCGCGCUGCUGAAGGAGAUUCAUCAGAUCGAAAGGUGCUCACGGCUGAUCGGUGAUCUCGCAGACUCGGUGCAGUUCCCGAUCUCGGAGGAGAAGGAGACGGAGGUCCGGCAGAGAGUGCAGGAAUUGUCGAGCCUGUGUGAGGGGAUUAAGGAGGGUUUGGAUCCUCUGGAACGGCAGGUCAGGGAGGUGUUCCAUGGAAUCGUGAAAAGCCGAACAGAGGGCAUGGAUUCUUAUGGAAGACCGAAUGAAUGAAGAAGAUGAGAGCAAUCAAUUUUUGGAUUUGGGGGAGGUGGCGGCGGCGGCGGGGGCAAUAAAAUUUGGGUAAGGAGGAGGAGAUAUGACUUUUUUUUUUCUUCUUUUUCUCUUGUAAUUUAAUCAGUGAAAUCGAUCAGCAAUUACCAUAUAUUGUGUAUAGAAAUCAGGAUUAUGCAAAGGAACCUACUUCUUGGAGGUUCAUGUUUGCUGUUUUUUCUUCUUCUUUUUUUACCCUUUUUUAUCUUUCUGUUGUUGCUUAUUUAUUUUGCCUCUGUAUAAUGAAAUUUCUAAGCAUGCUUCUGGCUGCUGCUCUUUCUCAUUUUGUGUUCAAUUCUUGCGCAAAUUUUCGUUUGAUCUCGAAUGCUUUCCGCCUACGACAUAGAAUUUAGGUAUUUGAAUUUGAAUCCUUAUAUCAAUGUACGAAAUGAAAUCAUCGAAAUGUCUGAUAAUGACUCACUCUCUAUGAGGGGGGCAAUCUUUUGGCUUUCUUCGUCAUUGGAUUGCAAUUACUUAUAUUUUGAUUGAUUGGUUACUGCAAAGUGAGAAGGCCCCAAAAAAAGAAAAAGAAAUGUGCUGUUGAUUGUUCUUGGAAUUUUCUGCUUGCCAUAUUACAAUAGGUAGCUUCAACCAGACAAUCAGUUUCCAACUCUCUCUUUAUGGAAAGGUUGUUAUCAAGACUGCUUUUGACUUCCAUAUGCAGUUCAGUGAGGCUCAAUGCAUUCUAACCGUUGGUAAAUUGCUCUACCACUUCUAUUGCAGCUGAGAUUGAUUGGUUUUUUAUAUAUAUUAUUUAUUCUGGUUCCCUCGCUUUUAUUGCAGGAAUUUGCCUAUGAUUUUUCCUCUAAUGGAAACAUAUCCAAAGUUCUCAAAGAGGCUUUUGCCUAUUUGCCGCAGUGGGGGUGUAAAUUUUUAAGCUCCUUGUUUGUUCAACAUAGUCCUCUGCUCUUUGGAACUUGCCUUCUUCCCUUUUGCCUCCCUCCUAUGUUCAGCCCCUGUAUAUUUAAGUUCCCUGUCUUUUUCCACUGUUUCGAAAUUAGUAUAUCUUCCUUGUACAACCAAAAUACUAGUUUUCCUACUGAUGCUACUUGGUGUAUGUGGUUCUGUUUGAUCUCCACCUAAAUGCAGCUCUGAUACUUUGAAGCAGUCACAUCUUGAAGUAGCUGGAACAGCUGCGCUAAGCUAAGGUCACUCACCUGCCCGUGUGGGGGCGAUUCCUGACUCUGCAUCAACCGGAAGCCUCUGACCGAAUACGGCCUUUGCCACCUAUUUUAACUACACCAGAUAUCAGAGGCAUGAGCUAAUCUUGUGCUUGAUUUGAGCCAAUUGGAAUGGUCUUUGAAGAUUGCAUCAAAGCUAUUGUCUAGUAUAUAUAUUUUAGAUACACAAAGUUUUUGCAGAUCAUCCGUCGCUUUCUUAUCCUCAAUUUGGAUUAGGGUGAAGAGUGCAGAGUUGGUAGCUUAUAGCAUCAAUCAACCAAGACUGCAGUUGCAGAUUAGGCACGCAGCUUCUUCUUGCCCUACCUACCUCGUCAAAAUGAGAGGCUUCCAGAGCAGUUGACCCCCCCUGUUGGGAAAAAACUCAUGGUGAGCUGUUGCUUCAAUGUAGGCUUUAAAUGCUAAAAGCUAAUUCUUGUCUUUUCUUGGUUUGGAGCUUAAAAUUCCAUGUUAUGUGUUGACAAUGUUUUGCAUUUUGGAAGGUGGAUUAAUGCAGAGAUUAGUCAUUUGCAAAGCUACCCUACAUGGCUUCAUGAGCUGUUAAGCCAUUAAUAAUACCAAUAGCUCUUCUUGUUUUUCACGUUCCAAUUUCUGCAAGCCAAAUUCUGGGACCAGACGUAACAGCACGUAAAACUGCCCAAAUUCAAUGCUGGCUAAGAGUGUGUGUGAAGCAAAGGCUUAGCCAAGUUGGCUAAAGCGGAUGUGCUCUCUAUUCUACACUCGAGUUCGAAUACCCCCUUCCCUAUCGCUUGUAUAAAUAAAAAUAAUAAUAAGAAAGUCGCUUAAGCCUAAAAGUUUGUAUAAAUUUGAUGUGUUUGGCAUUUUAUAUCAUGCUAAUAAUGAAAAUAAAUAACAAGAGGAAAAAAAAAGGAAGGAGGCAAAAGGCUUUUCUAAUCUUGAUGAUCAGUCCCGAUCUCUUGGACCACAGGAGUCCAAGAGAUUUGUGGUCACUCACCGUUGGAUGUAAAUUCAACGGUUCUUGAACUCCUUUUAAGAAACUUUUUUGAAUCGUUGAAUUUACAUCCAACGGUAAGUGACCACAAUCUUUUGGACUCCUGUGGUCCAAGAGAUCAGGACUGUCUUGAUGAUGUUAGUUUUUUUUUUUUUUUUGUUUGUGUGUGGUCAAUUAUCUUGAUGAUGUUAGUUGAAGUGUGCCAGAUGUAUAAUAUGUGUGUGCACGUCCUAUUGAAAACCGAAUGCUUGUACCUUUCGCUUGGACCAGGGAAUUCAAGACUAAUAAUGAAUUUGAAAAUGACAGAACGUAAAAUAACGAGAUUUAACAUUAACAUAAUGGAUCAUAAGUUAACUUACAAUCCCAAAAAAGAGGUAAAGUUGAAGAUACAAGAGAGAGGGAGAGCGGGAGCUCUGAAACACAGAAGCUAUCUUUUUCUAGUUCUAAUCCUGUUAAUUGCUACCAUGACUAGGGAAACAAUUAGUGCUGAACCUGCAAUGAUGAAUGGAGAGCACAGCAGAUUAGAUUUUUCCAAACGAGGAGGCGUCUUCUCUAGAUCAUCACCUGAUUUCUCAACUUCCUUCUCUUUCAUGUGUUCUUCAUUGGUUCCUGCUUCUUGAAUUUCAUUUCCAUGGCUUCCUUCUGCUUUGACAGGUAACUGAUUGCUAGCAGGACAUUCUUUGAUGGGUUCUUGCUUUUGCAGCUGAGCAACAUCUGCUUCUGUACUAAUUCCAUCUGUAGUCUCUAUCUGUUGAGCUUGAGCUUCUUGUUGUGUGGUUAAUGUAUCUCCUGCAGGUUUUGAUGAGUCACUGCUCUCUCGUCUACUACGAAUGUCAUCCUCCAGCCCCGCAUUUCGCUUUUUGCUUAGAUCAGCUUCUGGACUUCUCUGCUUCUGCACCUGCUCUUCCAAUUUGGGGAGCUCAGAACCCUUCUGUUCAGUGUGAUGUAUGGUUGCCUGAGUUUCUUGCGUUGGCUUAGCAACUUCUUGACUUACUCGAGUGCCUGUAUCUUCCUGCAUUGUCUCUUUAGCAUCCUCAGUCUUUGGCACCUUAUAAUCAGUUACAAUUUGUUCUGUGCCUAAUUCCUUUCUAGCAACCGUCUCUUUCUCAACACCAUCAGCUUCUUCAAUCUUCGCAAUCCUUGCCAUUUUUGGCUCUUCUCUAUUUCUCGAUACAGACUUUUCUGUCUCUUGCAUACUCUGUAUCUUCGAAGCUCUAGCUUCUUCCUGAUUUUUUCCCCCACUCAUGUCCUUCCCAAGAACUCCAUCAGCUACAGUUUCUUUCUUGGACACCUCUUCAUCAACUUCUUUUCCCUUGAUCUGACGAUUUUCUUCCAUUUUCUUUUCCUCAGCCUCAACAAAUUCUACCUCAAGUUUCCCCCUAGAACCAUUUUUUUCAGGAACCUCUUCAGCUGCAGGUUGUGCCAUCUGCUGUGUUUCUAGUCCUUUAUCCACCCCAUCAUCUUUCACUUCCUCAAUCCCAACCCCUCGAAUACCUUUCUCUGAUUUUGGCAUGACGAUGGCGAGAGUUGAUUCGUGUUCCUUAAACUUGGCCUUGAUUCGAUCCAAAACCACUCCAUCCGGAAUCCGAAAGACUUUUCUGAAACUCCUUAUCUCCACCUCUUUCUUGUACAUUAUCCAUCUUAUCAUCACCUUCUCUUGAACUGGCUUUUUCCCACUAAUGGCAAUCUGAGUCCCAUCUUCAUUUAUGUCAAUUUCAAUAUGCUGUCUUCUAUAACCUACAUUUAUCCAAAGAAAGUUAAAAAAAAACAAAAAAUGCUGGCAUACACACACACACACACACACACACAUACACAGAACAAAUAUUAAGGAAUAAUUGAAAAUGAUAUUAACCUUUGAGAUGACCAGUGAGGACGAAGGUAGUUUCGGUUUCUUUCGAUACAAAAAGAGGAUCGGAAUUGUCUUUGGCAAUCUGAAAGUUGGCAGAAGAAACAUGAUCAUCUAUGUUAUGGGUGAUCUUGAGUCUCAAUUCUAGAUCCAUUGGUGGGCUUGAUUUUCUUAUCAGAGAUCAAUUUUAGGAACUCCAAAAUUUAAACUACUCAUUUGGGUAGCAGAAUGUGCACGUGUGAGAGGGGAAUGUUAAUAGAGCCCAUAUUGUCUUUUAUUGAGCAUAUGAAACAAAGCACAUAUUCAUUGCUUCCUUAUAUGGCAUUCUUGAAGGCGUUUAGGACGGUUAAAAUCCACUGCUUUCCGAAAUGUGGGUUACCUUGGCGGGAAGUUAACGGCUCCAUGUUUGAUACCAAAAUGAAGUUCAAGCCAUGCGUGUUCAUAUUGAACACGUAUGUUGAAGAAAAAUGUGAAUUUCCUAAUAUUAUUUCACCAUCACUAUUUAAAUAAUGGGUUUUAUUAUUUUAGUUUUGACCCAUUCGAGACGCGGUGUCUCUUAAUUACAAUCUCUUAUUUCAAGGGAAUACCCUUUGAUUUCAUCAUAAAGAAACAUAACGUGUAUUUUUGAUUUUGCAGCUGCUCCCAAGUCGAACCUAAGGGUGCCUACAUAUCCCUUGGGGGAAUCAAACUACUCAUAGAUCAAGGAAUUGCAAUGAAUAAGUGACUCCUUGCAAAAAGAAGGAUUUGAAUGAAUUUGAUUGAAAAAGUGUUCGAGUGAAUUCAGCUGAAUAAACCAAGAAUUCGAUAUGGAAUUGUGUUUGGGCCAAUUUGGUUAAGAAUAAACCAGAGAUUCUGUUUGGAUUCAAGAUCUAGGCGGUUGCAUCUAGAUUGAGUCUCUAGAUUGCCUACGUACCCUUUAAAAGGGAUCAAACCAACAAAGUUCGAAAUUUGGGAAAUUAAUGGGUAAGUGUGGCCUACUAAUUUAGAAUUUGUGUCUUUGAAACAAUUUGGAGAUUUUUACGAUUUUCAUAGGUAAAUGACCCAUGAGAAAAAUUGGAUGGUUUUGUACUAUUUUUCUUAUUGUCAAUAUCCAAGAAAAUAAUGCACAAUUUUGAUGAACCCACUAAAUUUCUAAAAUUGACAUUUGCAUUUGGAAAAAUGUUUGGGCGAAUUUGGUUAGGAUAAAACAGGAAUUCAAAUUUGGUUGCUGUUGCAUCUAGUGGGAUGCUAGACUGCCUGCGUACUCUUGACAGAAUCAAACCGACGUAGUUCCAAAAAGAUUCUUUAAUUUGCGUGGUUUUGUACCACUUGGGCAUGUGACAUGGUUUUGUACCACUUGGGAUUUGACGUAGUUUUGUACCACUUGGGAUUUGGGGUAGUUUUGUACCGUUUGGAAUUUGGUGUAGUUUUGUACCACUUGAGUCUUCACUUGUUGAUUUGGGAAUUAAUGGGCCUUUUUAAUUUUGAGGCCAUUAUUCCAUAAUUUGUGGAUCUGAGACUUUGCACCAACUGUUUCCCAUUUGGAUUUUUAAUAGACGAGUCCAUUGUGCUUGAGAUUUGCAAUAGAACAUGCCCAUUGUAUUUUAAACCGUUAAGUCUUGAGAUGUCGGCUUAAGAUAUGAAGUUUGAGCUCAUUGGGUCUGAAGCCCAUUUUGUUAUCCCUUUCUUUUUACAACUUCUUACCGGGCCUGCAAUUGUCACGGUUUGAGGUGAGCACUUCUUGUUUUUGCUUUAAACCACCUUAGUUGAUAAGCCCAACCCAACUUCCUUGCAUUGGUCUCCCUGCACUUCUUUUUGUUUUGUUUUUGUAGCGUCAUAGCCCUAGAAAUUGAUUUCACAUAAAUUUUGAGGCCAUUAUUCCAUAAUUUGUAGAUCUGAGACUUUGCACCAACUGUUUAUGGCAUGAAGGAAAACAAAGCUUUCUUCAUUGUUCCCCUUUUUGGUGGUAGAGUCCUUGAAUUUUUUUGAUUCAAGGCUUUGAUUUUGAUUCAAAGCCAAAGGCAAUCAUGUGGUAGGCCUUCUUGGAUUUCCUUCUUGCUGGCAUUAGGACUUGUUAGGUUGCCACAUGCCAAGAGAAGAAGAUGUGCUUUUGUUUCUUUGCUUUUUGCUUGCAGUGAAGUCAGACUUGGUGACAGGACCUGACCCAAAUUCCACUUUGGAAUUUAAGCCGAACCCUGUGCAUGUCCAACAUCUGGUAGAUGCCUGGCACAUUUGACCAAAAUGCCCUUCUAAAUUUCCUAAAUUCUUUUUCUUCAAGCAUGACUUCUGUCGAAAAUUUGACAAAGUCUACCCUAACUCCGAAGCCAGUGAGCUCCCAAAAGACCUCGUGCUAGAUGGAGGUGGGCAUGUACAUAUAAGGCACAUCAACCCCUCUCCAUUGGUCGAUGUGGGAUGUUACACUUGGAGUUGUGAUUUGCCCUUGUGAUGGGUUUGAGAUGGUUUCCACCAUCAUAUGAGAUCAAUCCUUGCGGAUUGUUUUGGGUGCUUUAAGCCUCAUAGUGACUUGUUUUGGAUGCUUUAAGCAUCGCAAAGAGAGAGGCCUUGCGGUAGGGGUGGGCAUCGGAACCGAAGAACUGAUCAACCGAAUUAAACCGGACUGGAAAAAAUUGAAAGAAACCGUGUUAAUAAAAAAAAGUCAAACCCAAUUCAAAAAACUGAACUGAACCGAUUCUAACCGAUUUCCAUUCCGAUUCUAUACCCCAACAAAUCGAGCCGGGCCGAAUUGAACUAGCCAAAUUUAAAAAAAUUAAAAAUUAAAAAUUAAAAAUCCAAUACUAUAUUUUUAAUCUCAUAACUAAUAUUUACCCAAGUUCAAUUUCAAAACAUCUCUCUUUUCUAGCCUCAAUAUUUCUUUUUGUAUGAAAUUGGAUUAUUUGUUAAUUUUCAAGCCAAAAAAAAUAAAAUUUCAGUUGAAAUCUGCAUAAACUUGUGCAGUAAUGGCCCAUUGACUUACUUUUUGGUUGCAUUUUGGCCUACCCGAAAUAUGCGUGUUCAUUUAACUACUCUCCUGAUCAAUCUAAAUUCUCAUUUUUCAGGUAUUAAAUUUUGGAUUUUAAUGUGAAAGCCACGCUAGUUUUGAGCCUUCUUGUGUUACUAAUCGCACAAUUUAUACUCCUCUGAACUUUGAAUCAAUCAAAUGAAUUUUAGUGCCUGACAAAAGAAAGAGAAUUGAAGUUCAAGACUCCUUUUCAACACUCUCUCAAGCUCAACUCGAGGUGUUUCGUUUAAGGAUAUGAAAAGAAAGAAAAGAAAACAAGGGACAUAGUCAAAAGUUAACAAAAAAAAGUUGUCACGUUGAAAAUUAUUACUGAAACAAGUUAUACUCCCAGAAUAGAGUCUACCAGAAAAGGCUUCAUCAUUGCAUUGCAUCUGUAAUUCUCUUCAGGGCAACAGCAUAAUCAUUUAUUCCAUCAUGUGAAUAUCAAUUAAACUUGGAUUCUAUGUAGUUCUUCUUCUGUUCACCCUAAGUUGAGAGGUAAGGCAGGCACUAUGCCCACCACUUAUCCAGCCACAGGCAAACAUUGAGUUGUUCAGAUUCUAAAUAUUUUCUUUAAAUUUUUCAUUAAAAAAAAUAUUUUUCUUGCAAAUUUAUUUGGAGAAAUGGAUCAUUUUUCUUGAAGUUUAUAUGGAGAAAUGGAUCACAGGUCAUGAGAGUGAUUAAAAUGGUUCAGAACAUCAUUCCUUUUCACAUUGUUGGGAUCCAAAGUGCAUACCUCAACCACCAGCCUACCAAAUUGCUUUAGGUACCAAUAUGCUGGGUGACUUUAGUCAAUUGAUUGCUUUAUGACUUUCAAAUUUUAAAUUCUUCCAAAAAACAAAAAAACAGAAAGAAGCAGAAGAGGAAAAGAGCAGGAUAAAAUAGAAAAAGAGAGAGUAGCAAUUGAUUGCAUGCCAAAAUUAAAGGAGCAAAAGUGGUAAUCAUUUCCAAAGUAGGGACUAAGAGCAUCUCAAUACAUGGUAAAUAAUCAUCACUCUUAAAGUUACUUUAGACUCAAACACCACACUGCCUCUCUGCUCUGCCUGAUCAAGAUUUACCCUACACCAGAUUUAAUUUACUUACACAUAUUACAAACCAUCUCUCUCUCUCUCUCUCUCUCUCUCUCUCUCUCUCUCUCUCUUCUUCCUUACCUUUUUACAGCAUCAGGAAAAAAACCACACAAAAUAGAGCCAUUUCCAUUUGAAGAGCAAAUAACCCCACCAACACCUGCAGUUUCCACCCACAGUCAGUACAAAAGAAACCCAAUCAACAUCCCAUCAAAACUCGAAGUAAAAAAGUAAAAAUAGAACAUUUACACAACAUUUUUCAUUAUCAACUGCAUAUAGAUGUACAUUUUCAUGUAUGUAAGCAUAUGUGCAUACUUCAUUAUUAUGUACUGUGCUAAAUUUACAAAUGAAUAAAUUUAAUGAGAUCAAGAACCUAUAAUCAAUAACUUUACACAUACAAUACUAAUCGAAAUUUGAACAUCUAAUUCAAAAUCAAUUAACAACGAGCGAAUCAUCCGAUCAAAAAUUUAAAAAAGAUAAAGAAAAUUGAGGUACCUGCCCCUGUUGGCCAGAAGUUGGUAAAGGGCGUAUUGUAGCAGAGUCAACUUCACCAGUAGGCAGAGGAACUGCAGGGUUGCUGUUAAUAAAUGGCAUACCACGACCACCACCUUUGUCUGGUACAGCCACUGAAGAACUCACGCUUGGUUGUGGGCUGGGAGAGAAAGAAACUUGGCGAGGGUGGAAUGGCCAUGGAUAUGAUGGAGAAGAUGACACUGCUCCUCCUCCACCCGAGCUUGGUGUUGGGGAAGCCAUUGGAGGAAGCUGUGGAGAAGUUGUUGUUGAACUUGAACUUCCUGGUGGUGCUGCUGCUGAGGAAGAGGAGGUGACUCUGAUAGCCAGCUUUUGGGUCUCUUGGCAUGUUUUGAGCAUAGAGCCAUUGUUGAAGGCAAAGUAGAAGAAACCAGGGCGUGAAGGGUGCCACUUUUGCAAAUGUAACAAGAAUUUUGGUAAGAAAGCUAAAAUAUUUUAGACAAUUAUGACAUACCCAGAUGGAAACUACUUCUUUUAAGAAUUUUCUUGAAAACAUAAGUUCAAAACAGAGUAAAUUGAACUAUUUCUCAGGAAAAAUCAGAAAAAAAAGAAAGAAAAAGGUUUUUUAAGUGUGUGUUUGAGAGAGAGAGAGAGAGAGAUACCGUGUAGGAGGUGGAGUCAGGUUUGUUAAGAAGUGUGGCUUGAGUGAAAUUGCAGAGAUCGAAGGCUCUUUGGUUCUGGAAAAUGUAGAGGUUGUGCUGAUACUUGUGCUUAAAAACUGAAAUGCUCAAGACAAAAAGUGUUAGAAGGGAGCCUAAGUAAAACAAUGCUUAAUUAAUUCAACCAAAAAAAAUAAAAGUUUCAAGUUCUUGAAUUUGUUGGGGUUUUCCCUUUUCAGUUUGGAGCACUUACUGAUGGAGUCUCCUACAUGAACAGUGGGGUUUUUCCACUCUGAAACCCCAUCUACUAGUAUUGUGGUGGAGUGAGAAUGCUGGAAGAGAAAAGAGAGCAAACACAGGAAGAUGAGCAUGGAGAGCUUCAUGAAGAGCUUCUCUUUUGAAUCUUUUUUUUGUUUUUUUGUGACAGCAAAAUAUUAGAUUAGACAGAGGCUUUGGUCCUUUGUAGCCUUGCUAUCCCUGCCUCCUUCCUGCUUCUGGGUUUUUGACAAAGAAAAAAGGGUUUUUGAAAAAUGUGAAAAGAGAACUGUGAGAGGAGGAGAGUGGCAUAGAGACUGUUAAAAUGUCAGUGGUGCUUAGCUUUUUCAUGGGAAGAGUAUGAAUGGAUGACAGACAUAAAUGUUGGAGAUUGUGUGGUGUGUUUCUCAUUAUUUUAAACAGUGAAAGGUUGAAUCAUCUUGUUGGUAGAAAAAUUUACCAUUAAAGAACAAAGCUUUUAAGAAUUAUAUAUGAUUAAAAAAGGAAAAGUUUGAGAAGUGAUUAUGAGAAGUUUGGGUGGCUCUGAUUGUUGAUGAUGGGCAUUAUUAUUCUAAAAUGAUUAGCUCAGUGAUUAUCAACCUGCAGUCUACAUUUUCAAUCCAAAUAAACUAAUGUCUUGGGGGGUGAGGAGCGGAAAUCACUUUCUUUUAUGAGGCCCUUUUUAAAUUUUAAUUUAUUGAAUCCAUAAAUAAUGUAAUUAGGCUCAUACUUCGAUGCAUAAAAUAAGGUUAAGGGAAUAAAAUCUUUAAAGUCUCAUUCUUUUCCUUCUUUUUAUCUCCUCCUCCUCCUUUUCCCAAAUUAUAUAGUUGUGGUGAGAAUGGAGUACCAGACAGAUGUGAGAAUCCUCUUCUUGGCCUCUGGCAAAGCCAACAGCAAUCUGCCAUGUUAUAAAGACAAACGGAAAGCAACUUCUCCUUACCAAUUAUCAGAGCUUUUGGAGGCUUGGUAAACUCAAACUGUCAUCAAUUCAAACACCCUACCUUUUGUAUUUCUAAUCUUUUGAACUCCAAAAUAUAUAAAACCAACAAGGAAUUUGUAGCUCCACUCAAGAUAACAUUUACUCCCACUGUAACUUAAACUUCAAAUCAGCAGGAUCCGUAUAAGGUGAGAGCAGAACUUCAGUGAGUUGGUUUUAUUGCGUAGACGUGCUAAGUGGCAAGACAAUCCAAUUGAAAUGGAAUAUGCAUUUAAAUGUUGGCACAUCAUUAUCUUUUAACUUAAUUGUUUUGCCAUUUUAUAGUGUCGCAUGAAAGACCCUAUAAAAGUUUUGGUUUCUAUGUGUUAUUAUGGUCAUCAAUCACAAUGUUAAGCGCUCGUUAAGUUGGUAGGAUGAGUAGUUUGAGAAGUGACAAUAGUACCAUUUAAAAGUUUUAACGAAGAAAUUAAGAAGUUGCUAAUAAUUCAUUAUUAUUACUUCAAGUACAUUGCAUUUCAUACAAGAGUGUGAGGUGAGUAUAAAAAAAUAAAAAAACAAAAAAAAAACUAAACAAGUAAUAUUACGAGAGUGAGAUUUUGAACAUAAAAACUUGAGAGAUAAUUACGUACUCUUAAUUAUUUGAGUUACAAACUCCUUAACAUUGUGUUUAGUUUUAUGGGAAGGGCCUCAUGUAAUGUAAGUUUUGGCCUAACACCUUGGCACUGCAAUGCAAAUUGCAUAGAAAGAAGAGGAGUGGCGUGGAGGCAGAGAGAGCAACACAUGCCUGCAAAAGCAAACCUUAAAUUUGAUUUGUAUUUGUCGAUGAGGCCAGUGGGCCGAUUCCUACUGAUAUUAGCCAAACGACGAGAAGCUACAAUACAAUAGCACCGGGCAGGAGGGACCACAAGACAAACACAACGCAGUAAGCUUCGAAAGGAUAAAAGAGAAAACUAUAAAUAUACUUCAUCUCAACCAUGGUAAAACCUACUCCUAUUUAGAGAUGAUCUAUGCUACCUGACCCAGGAAAAAAAAUAAUAUUUGUCAGUAGUUUUAUUAAUUCUAAUUCUUUAGAGCCACUCUAGCCUAACUCAACUGGUCGAGUCUGUAUUCUUCCUCUCUCUCAGUUGUGAACCUCUUUCGGCCUGCGUGCCCUUAUGGGUCUAUGUUCUGUUAGUCUUUUUUUUCUGCAUUAAAAAAUAAAAAAAGGGCAUUUGACUUGGUCUUCGGGAGCAAGGCCCAUUGCAGACAAGAGCUGAAAAGGCAAAGCAACUCUUUCACAAAUAAAGGUAUGGAUGAAAAGGUAUUUCGAAAAUGGAAAUUGUCACCUAAUCUAAAAUAUUUUUCUUGUACUAGGAGGGUUUCAAGUAAAAUGAAUUUAAUUUAAAUUUGUAGGGUGGAGCCGAGAAGUAUUGAUGAAUCUCUUGUUAUGACGUGACAUGCCAAUUCUGCUCCUUGUCUAUUAAUUCGUCUAACGCCAUUUGCGUGAUAAAAUUUCCUCUCUACCUACACUCACGAGGAUGAGCCUCUACAUUUUAUGUAUUGCAUUUGGUUCAUGAACUUGAGCACAGAGAGUAGAUGUCAAAUCUUAUUCGGACUAAUAAUGAACAAAGAUAUUCAUUGACAAGCACCAGCAUUCUCCACAUGAUGACGCGAUCGAGAAAGAUAAAAGUAAACAAACACACAACAAUUCAAUAACGCGAUCGAGAAAGAUAAAAGUUCUCAAAUAGUUUGAAGCCAACUCUCCCUCAUCAACUCCUCUAAUCUGCUGAUUCUUUGUAUUUAUCUCUGCUAUAGUUAGUUAUCCUUUGUCUUUGUAUUAUCAUUUACAUGCUGAUAAGACGUUUGUUUUUAUCACAACAUUGUUUGUUAUUAUAUGAGAACAAAAUUCUUCAUGGUAUCUAGAGCGUUCUGACCAACAUAAUUUUUUUUCUUUUUCGAUCCUAUAUUCUUCUUUCCUACUCUUCCAUGACAUGUGGUAGCAACUCUGCUGCUUCCUCUCUUGCUGCUGUUCCCAAUGUUACCAAUCAUCUUUCCAAAUUGUUGUCUUACAUGAAAUGGGCUCAUCUACCUUAUCCCCAAAAACACAAAAUCACAUACUUAAUUUCUUUUGAGUUGGAUCUGUUAUGGACUUUGGCGGUCCCACAAUCAGCUAAUUUUCUGAUAAUAUUUGCACUAAUUUUUUCUGAUGUAGUCUGGGGUAGCUAGCUAGGUUUGGGUUAGAUUAAUGGUGAUAAGUUGGAAGUUCCUGAUGUGUUGUAUAUCAAUGUCAUUAAAAGACUGGAAUUUAAUUUUCUUAAGCACUUUCAAUAUAAACAUAUACAAGAAGGUUGCUAGCAUAUCAUGAACUAAUGGGAAUCAAACAGCAAUUCUUUCCUCAGGUAGUUUAGACACUUCUUCAACUUCAACCUUGAAGGGUAUUGUUGCUCUCAGAGACUUUGUACUUGUACCAAUUUGCACACACCAGAAAGUAGUGGCUCCUAGAGCAGCAAUCAAGUAAUAGAAGUAAUCUAAUCUCCCCCAAUUUCCAGCUGCAGUCCCCUUAGUCUAUGCUGAUUAACAAGCUACCAUUUCAGUGCCAAGAUUUGGUUACCAACCUCACUGCCAAACCAAUUGCAUGAGUGACCUGUACAGGCUUUAACCUAAGACCUCAAAUUUUACAUGUUAUCAAAAAAGAAACGACAAUGAAAACGGAAAUUAUUGGGAAUUAUAACAACAAUAAAUAUAUUAAAAAAGAAAUUUUGCCUCCAAGUAAAAGGGCAUACAUACACCCAAUCCCUCUCCCCUCCUUUCCUUGACAAAAAAGGAAAAGAACAAAGGGUCUCUAGUAAGGAACUAAAAUGCAAGGUCUCCUUAAAGUUAUAAACAUAGCACUCUAGCACUACUAACCAUCGAUCUUUAUCUAUUUCCGAAUAGGUAUAAUAAGCCAUCUAAACAUAAUAAACUAAUUCUGGAUCCUCUGCAUCACCCUUGAAUAAAUAACCGGGGGAGAAGAGGUUUUCAUUACCUCUUAACUACAUACAUCAUAAGGCUCUCUACCUCUAUCUCCCUCGUUGAUGCCAUCUUUUUCUUCAGUCACAAGGAAUGCCCUUUCAUGACUCGGGUUGCAAUAUCUCUGAAACCAGAGUAGCUCUUAGGAAAUGAUAAAUCAUCAGCUGUAAAUAUCUAAUUGAGACACUCAGAUUCCUAGUCCAAUGUCAUACUUUUUCCUCCUAUGCCUUGGAACAACGUUCUUCUGCGUCACACCUCAAGCAUAUACAUUCUUACCACUGCAACGAGUGAACUCUCCGGAGGGCACGGGCUGGUCUUCGCUUCUCCACAACCGGAAUGACUUUUUCCAUUAGCUGCAGCACACAUACACAAGAAAGUCAACUACAUGAUAGUCGCUAUUGUCCCUCAUCUUCCAAUAUCCUAUUCCUCUGAAUCAAUUUUUCAUCUAACCUCACUCAGAUGCAUAAAUGACACUGAAACCAAUACUCAUGGAUGUCAAAUAUUGCCAAAACUCAAAAAUUGGGAAACUAUUCUUCUCUUCCCAUAUAGACUAUAUAAAGAUGCAGACACAUUCUUUAAAGAAAUUAGUUUUAAAAAAAAUACAUUCAACCCACUUGAUUAUGAUCUACUGCUGAUCCAUUAAUCUUCAAUAUUUUCCCCUUCUACAGUUUCAUGAGGAAACAAAUAUCACCCACAAGUUUCUCAGAGUAUAAAAGAUGAUUAAAUAUAACAGAUAUAUCAAUUUCCACAAUCACACUAAGAUAAAAUCUCAAAGCAUGUGUUUUCUUGUUUAGUUACAUUAAUACAUGCAAACAUGCAUGGAAGUCUAUAAUAAAGCUUCUAACCAAACCAUUUCCCAGUCAUUAUAAAGGUUCACCAUACUGAUUGUCUUGACUACUCCAAACCCAAAGCUUAAAUAAUAUGGAGGACCAUGACCAUAUAAUAAGAAUGUUCCUUUUUAUAAUCAUAUUGACCAUAGUGAUACUUUCCUAGUGUCUUCCCUUGUGGACGUAGACAAGGAUCCAACUGCGCAUCUUGGUUGCACAGGUUCUUUCAAUCAUAAAAAUAUUCCUUGAUCUAUUUCAAUUAUCUCAUAGCAGUGUCCCCAUAAAACAAAAUUCGCUCCCUCCAAAAAAGAACCCAUGUUUGGAAGAUGUAUUUGGCUAAGGCAAAGUGUUUGGUAAUUUUAGACUAAACUAAUACAAAUUAAUACACGUACAUUCAAAAUAACAAAGCUAUCAGUCUUAAAAAAUGAAACGACUGUGUAAACAUUGGUCUGAGCAAAACAUCCCACGCCUAAAUAGUUAUAUAUCAUCAAAAGAAAUGAUCAACAUUUCACUAUGCAUUCAUGCUGUAUGUUUGCCUCAGUCAUGAAAAAAGGUAAACCAAAUUUGAGAGGCCAGGCUUUUGGAUUAAUUAUUUGUUUCAGUUUACUUAUUUUUUGGUGGGAGGAGGGAGGGAGGAAAUGACACAUGAUCUUCUAACAAAAAUGAAUGUUCAUAUGAAAAAUAAUACUUGGGGGCAAAUUGUUAUUCGGGAUUGACAAAAGAUUCAGGCACACUUCGUACAUUAAAGAAUUUAGCUUGACAACAAAACAGAAUAUCAUAGAGAGUCAAAAAUUUCUUAUUAUAUUGGAAGCAUUGAGAGAUCAUAGAAACCCCAUUACUAAUGAAAAGAUAUUUUGAAAAGAAACCCACGCUUCCAACAGAAAAAUGAUAACAGAUUUCCUCUGUUAAGUAGAAACUCUAAAUAUCUUAUCUCUAAACAUUAUGCUACAUGAAUAGAUAUUGUGAAACGAAACCAAUGCUUCCAACAAAAAAAAGAUAACAGAUUUCCUCUGUUAAAUAGAAACUCUAAAUAUCUGAUCUCUAAACAUUAUGCUACAUCUAUGCCCACAAAAUAUAUAGUUCAAAAUGAAGGAUUAUUGGUGCAGACUUUCUAGUUUCCUCUUCCUUUUUUGGGCAGGACUUACAAAAUAGUUAUAAUGUUUUAUUCACCACACCACCACACACACCCCCCUCCUCUUCUUUUCCCUUUUUGGGAUGAUUUUGGCACUAGGUAAUUUAAGGGUAUUUUUGGGUGCCAAAAUCAUCAGCUAUUUUUUUUGGGUGCAGUGGAGAUAUAAUUGUAACGUUUCACUUGUAAUUUCUGCAUUUUCUGUUUACGCCUAGAUGGACACAUUGACUACCUCGUAACAUAUUUUUCAUUUUAUCAAAAUUUUAUGUUUCUUAUCCUAAAAAGAAUUGCUAUAGGCCAAAGACCAGAGUCCGAUAAAAUGCAGUCCCUUGCCAUAUCAAUAAAUUACUUGCAUCAGGAGCAGAAUGAAUACCUGCUUACGUCUUUCCUCAGUCCUCUCAGUCUGCAAUAGAAAAUAUUUUGUUAAACAAUGGAGCAUGCAAUAAAUGUCAAGGGCUACAGAAGUAAGCAAUUAAAACACAAACAACUCUGUUGAAUAUUUUCUGAAGAAUGUUUUUUCACUCAGUCUGGUGGCACGUUACAUAAUUUUAGUUAGUCAUUUUUUUCUUUUUGGUGCUGGGCAUCUGUUUGGCCAGCAUGGUUAGGCCUCUUGGCUCUCUUUGUUAUACUUUGUGGACUGCUUUGCAGUGUGUUUGUUCUUAAUAAAUUUCCUUCGUUCAGAAGAAAAAAAGAGCAAGACACAGAUAUGAAAGUACAAGGUCUUAACAUCAACUUAAAAACCAAACACAUUACAAUUAAGAUAACUGAACAGUACAUGACUUUGCUCCCACAAACUCAUGAACCAAGUCUUCAUGUACAUACAUUAGAAUUCCAAACCCAUUUCUCUUUGUAUAGUAUACUGAGCAAGACGAAUGCAAUUGAGACAACAGGCCAACUAUUAAAUGUUCAAAAUUGGUUCACUGACUUUCAAAAGCAAGCUUGAACAGGUUCACAGGCUUGAUCAUCUGUCUCAUGGAUUAAAAUUAUUUGUAAAAUUCCGUAAUGUUAUAAUGGAAUUGAAACUCAUUUGCCAGACUUGAGUUAAAAUUCAUGUAAACUUACUCAAAUUUUCCUACUUAAAUUAAAUUGUCACUUAAGAACACCUAGAUGACGUAUGCAAGUACUUCAAAUAAUUUAUCUGUGCACUUUGAAAAAACGUAAUGAAAUAUAAUUCAGCCAUUUUGUAUGAAUACAUAUGCAUAACAUAAAUAUGUAGAUAUCUACAUAAGAUUCAUCUCUAUAAAAAAAAUAAUAAUAAGAUCUCAUAUAUAUAUAUAUAUAUAUAUUCAGUCAAGCCUCUUAUUCAAGAGCUUGGUCAUGAAACAUAGCUUGACCCCGACUUAACUAUCAAGCUUGAGUUUGUUCACUUACAGCCCUGCUGACAAAUGAUAAAUAAGUUUUCAAUGGGAUGAAACAGGACAGAGUAGUGGUAUUUUCUGAAAGUACGACUAUAAUGCUUUAAUGAAAUACAAGUGGAAGUUCGUCAUAGCUGAUCUUUUAAUGACACAAAUGAAAAAUCAAUAGCUUUCACCAUAAAAGGCAGACUGGUAUUAUAAAUAAGUCUUGAGAUUGCCUUUCAUCACCAUAUGUUUUUCUUUUGGAAUUGUGUAUUUGUAACUGACACGGUGUUUGCAGCCUCAGAAAACGAGACAGAUGAAAGAAAAACUAGUUUGUUGCAAAAGUUUAACAUUUAGUGUCAAACCACACUAACUAUCCUGAAUACUGAUGGGGACUCAAAUACAACUAAUUUUGUCCCCAUAACCCAGAUGUUCGGUUCUGAAAUCACACUACUAGAAGCACAUUUGCAAACCACACAAUUCAGUAGGCAACUAGAGAACAAUACAAUACCAAUUUAAUUACCUUCUCUUUCAAAAGCUGCUCGUUCUCCUCCUCUAAUCUGACCGCCAAUGAUUCCAACUCCACUUGGUAAGCCUAAAAUCCAAAAAACCCACAAACAACAAAACACAAAAUAAGUAUUAAAAAAAAAAAUGUAUAUAUAUAUAUAUAUAUAAUCACAAACACCACAAUUUAACCAUUUCCCCAAUUUACACACCUGCUUCCUCUCUCGGGACCUGGCCGCUGACUCACGGUUCUUGAUCAUCCUCCGCUGUCUCUGCUGCGCCACCUUAUCCAUAGGCUCCAAAACGGCGCGCCCUCUCUUCCCUCUUCCCACUCCUCCACUCCCAACCAUCUCAACCCCAUUCCCAAACCCAAUUAUCGACCCUUCAACCUUAUCAAUCGAACUGAACGGGCUGAGCUGCGGCAUCGGAUCAAACGAAAAUACACCGCCGCUCAAUCUCUCCGUCUCCGGAGGCGGCAUCGCAAGCGGCAUAUCCUUAAUGUCGUCCUCCUCCACCGCCCCGGCCCGAGCCAAAAAGUCCUCCAGAGUCAUCAAAUCAUCCGGAACCUCCUCUUUACACCCCUUCCGAGCCUCGCCGGACACAAUUUCCCUCCAGACCUCGUCGACGGUCUUCUGCGGCACCGCCGCCGAGGAGCUGUUCAUUUCUGCGGCGGCGUCAGUGUUGAUUAGGGUUAUUUGGGCGUCGAGGAGGGUGGCGUCGGUCAUGGGGGUGGGGUUCGGGUCAUAGAGGAGGCCGUCGAUGGUCAUCGAGCCGAUUGGCAUGGACGACGUCGUAUUGGUGCUGUGAUAAUCACUGAUGCCGUUGCUGUGGUUGUUCAGGGUUUGGGGGUGAGCGGAGGAGGAAGAUGGGGUUGCUGAGGGUUUGGGUUUUGUAGCGGGGGAAUUGGAAGAAGGGCGUCGCGAGAGAUCCGAGUUUCGUGAUCUUGACGACGACGACACUAGUUUUGACGACGCCAUCUUUUCCGUCGCCGAUUUGUCAGGCCUCUCUCUCCCCUCUACACUCUACACUGCAGACUCUGUCCACUCUCUCACUCUCUAGAAAUUGGAGUUUUUAGGGUUUGGUUUGUUUUUUCCGUUGGGAUCAGGAACGAAACAAAGCGCAGCAGAGCAGCAGCCUUUUUCAACGAGCGAGCAGUUUCACAUUCCAGAACCUGGUUUUUAUUUAUUUUGAAUUUUUCGAUGGGACCGACCAAACAGAAUCAUAUAGUACCGCCGAGUACCGAGAUUUAUGAUUGCGUUGUGUUGUGGGUCAUACGGAGUACCCACGCGGGCCCCACAGAAUAGCGAAAUCAAACAGGCGGGUGCAGUGAGUACGUAGGUGAUAUCGUUGUAGGUGAGUAUAGCCGGUUGGCCGAAUUUGAAUGCGUUUCCGAGUAUACUGUUGAUUGGAAAAAAAGAAACGAGUAAUGUUGUUGACUGGGGGCUACAGUUCGGGAAAUCCUAGCUGUACGGGCGGCUGAGACGGCUGCGAGCAACCCUUGGAAAGAGAAUCACUGAAAACCCGAGUAUUGAUUUCUUUCAAUUUUUAUUUGAGAUAUUUAUUCAUAUAUUUAUAAAUAAAUAAAAAGAAUAGAUAUUUAUUCAUAUAUUCAUUAUUAGCACUAAUAAUAUAGAUAAAUUCUAUACUAUUUAAUUUUUUAUAAAUAAUACAUAAAAAAAAAUUUCAAAAAAUGACAGCUGACCCUAUUGAAUUUAAUUUUGAUUAUUAAAUUACUUUGAUGCUCUAUUAAAUGUUUUGAGAUUUUUUUAUGAGGUUUUGAGGUGGGGCUUGUUUUAAGAAAUCAAUAGCCAUUUUAUAAUUUAUACGAAUUUAAAAGUGUUUUUAUUAUAUUAUAAAUGAGCUUUGGUUGUAUUUCUAAAGUCCAUUUCAUAUAAUUUUUUUUAUAAAUAAAUUAGGUCCCUAUUUUGAGUAUAGCCAAUAAUAAAUCUCCCUUUUUAUUUCUGGUCCAAACUUUAAUUGAUGAACACCAUGGGGAGAAAGCAUUUUUUUAUUUAUUGAAAUGAUCCUUGAACUUGUCUUCAGUUUGUAUUUUUUAUCAUACAACUAAAUUAUUUACUCUAAUAGUCCCACGAUGUUGCCCUCAAAUAACCGUUAAUUCAAACUAAAAUAUACAAAAUGGUCCAUGAAUUUGUGCAGAGUUCCACUUUGGUCAUCCAACUAAUUGUAUUAAGUCAUUUAAAAUAAAUAAAAUUUUAAAAAUAAUCUAUCUCCCUUUUUCUCAUCACAGCCAUCAUCCAAACGACUUACCCUCCCCACCUCCAUCAUCACUCACACACUCAGCCAAUACCACAAGCCACCCCUCACAUCUCUCUCACUGUUAUCGGCAAGGCCGAUUUUGACUUUUAGAUGGUGCACGUUAAAAAUUAAAAUGAGGCAUUUUCCUUUGCAAAACUCAUAUUUAAGACUUGAAUAUGUUUGAGAAUAUAUGAAUAAAUACUCGGAAAUAAUAUAGAUUGGAGAGAUUUUAGAACAACCGAGAAGAACAUGGUAUUGUGAAUUAAAUAAAGAGUUUGUUUUCCAUGGAGAAGUAAACCAUGAGAACCAACUGGAAAGAGGAAGCGUGUAUAUGUUUGCUAUUCGAAGGGACGUACAUUAAUGUUUGCUACAUUACAAGAAGUACGCGUCUACUGUUCAAUUUUCUUUUUAGCAUCAAUUGGGUUUUUUUUGGGGUCAAUCUGUUGGGUUGUUUAGAUGUGGGCCAUUAUUGAACAGAUGUUCCUUUGUUAUAUGUCUCCCAAAGGUUCAUUUGGUAGUGAGAGUUUUAUAUGUGGCCUUUCAGCGAGGUUUUAUAUCUUAACCGUUGGAUCAUAUUAAUUAAUUUGAUUCAAUGACUAACCAAUUUGAUCCAAUGAUUAAAAGAUAGGACCUCACCUAAGGUCCAUAUAAGGCUCUAUAAUGACUCUCACUAAAGAAUUCUUGCUACAUAUAAACAUACAAAUUUUGGGGCCCCUCAUCAAUGGAGGCCCAGUGUCGUUGCCCUUCGUGCCAUGCUCAGGGUCGGCCCUAGUUAUUGGUGUGCUCAAAUAUGAAAUUGGGUGUUCGAGGAGGAGGGAGUGCUUGGCCGAGUUAGUGUUUGGGAGGAGACCAAGGGGUAGAUUGGGCGGGAGAGUAGAUCAGGGUGCUCUAGUCACUCCCAACUCAAGGUAUUCAUAUUAUUUCAAAAUUACAAUUCGGUCCUUCCACUUCAAACAUGCAUAACUUCCUCAUUUUAACUCAGAUUUUCGAACCAUUUGUGCCUUAGCGCUUGCGACCUUAAGUUUUAUAUUUCUAGCCAAAAAUAUUAAUUUUCAAGCUAUAAUUUCUUAAAUAUCCUUAAUUAAAUCAUAAAAAAUUACUUAAAGACAUUUUCAUCCACCCCCAACGACCUGAUCCACUCUCUUCCUCUCAAUAUGCCCCUCUCCUUCUCAAAAAAUUAUAGUAUGAGAAGUUUGAUUCUGACCAUAUUUGUUUUUCACUGUUUUUCUUGUGUCACAGACUCUCACACACACACGCUUGUUUGAUGAAUUAAAUCAUUUCCUUUUAAGCUACUAAGGUAUGUUCAUUUUUGAAAUGGAUAUAGAAAAUUUAGCUUAAUUGAGUUUUGUUUUCUCUCUGUCACUCUCUCUUUGUCUCUCACGAUUUGCUCUAUCUUAACUCCUCAUAUAUGCCAAAAAAAAUAUAUUCAGGUAUUGUGGGAGACAAAACAGAAAAGGUCUUGAAAAUGGAGAGAAUAAGAGACUUUCCUCCGUUCUAAUCACUAUGUUGGUCAGUAAUGCUGCUUUAAGUUCAGUUAAUUAGUGGAUAAUUCCUUUUGUUAUCGGUUAAGGAUAGUUAAAUUCAUGUUAUAUGUUUUUGUAAAUGUUUUUGCUAUCUCAAUUUGGGCCCUUUAUAUGUGUAUGUGUUUGUAAUUCAAAGUCGUACCCAGUUUGUGACGGGUGCAUUGUGCUGAUUGUUUUUUUUACCCAAUUUUUGUAAAUCUUCUGUAACAGCAUGCACUACACAAAAAAAGUGGCAACAGUUACCAUUAUAUGGUGAUAUUUGGUGACUAAUGCUGGGGUGACUAAAGGCUUCAGUCACCAAAAAUUAGUCACCAAAUAAUGGUGUUAGGACCAAUUUUUGGUAUAUUGGCAAUUUCUUGUUACAAAAACAUAGAGUAGGUCUUUGAGUGUAACCUAUAGUUUUCAAGUGAUGUUCUACUAUCCUGGAGCAGUGUGGCUCAGAGACAAUGCCAAGGUAUGUUUUGCAUCCAUGCAUUCAUAUUUGCAUAUUUGCAAGAUCAUCAAAAGUGGUUGUCAGAUGUACAAAAAAAGGACAAAAUGUUUGCGUAGAGGUUUUUGAGAGUUUAUAUUGAAAACUCAUAUGGCUGUUCCUUGUUAGCCUCCAUGAGUGAUUAAAUCAUCAUAUUUUCGUAUAUGUGUGAGUUCAUGAGCAUUAUGCAUGUUGGUGAUCAGAAAUCGUGCCGUGAGGUGUGAGCAGUCGAGACCAGAGUUGUGCCAUCUCUUGUUGACGAAGGAAGACAAGAUCGCUGGUUGGGUUGAGUAGCAAAGAUGAGUAGGCAAGUCUGCCUUGUGAGCGUUAGUCUUGUGAGUUGAGACUUGUAAGACAUUUUUGUAUUCUUUCUCAUAGUGAUUUGUUCUCCGGCAUAGUGCCUGCAUUUGUUUUCCUCAUCUUGAAGUUUUUUAUUGCGUCAACAUAUCGUGUGUCCUUUAUGCAAUUGUUUGCGUUUUAUUUGAAUUUAUUCUGCUGCGUAUUCUGGAAUUUUUGCUUACAGGAUUGUUACAGUAUUUCAAUCCUACUAUAGUGUUUGAGUAUUAAGAAACAGAUCAGUUGGCCAUUCUAGAGAAUUUCAAAUAGUAACUGUUGCCACUUUUUUUUUUUUGGUAAUGAUGAUACGUUACUAACCUUAAUUUUUUGUGAUAAAGUAAGAUUCUUAACUUGAUGGUUCAUGUAAUAAAAGAAGUUAAGAUAGGUGACAGUUUUUUUAAUACUUUUUUUUAAUUAUGACAGCUCAACCUAGAUUGUUACCUCCUGGAAGCUUCUUGCUAAGAUGCUUCACCAAUUUGGUUCAAGGCUGUUUCAUUUUCGGACAACUUUACAUUCAGAUGUAGAAAAAGAAUUCUGUAGUUAAUGUAACAAAAGAAAUAAAAAACAUGUCGAAGAGAAACCAUUAAUAUUGUAUGUAAGACCAUGUAAUUGUUUUGAGGUCACUCAAUGAAAUUUUGUGUUCCAUUUACUUGUUUUUCUGCUUUUAUCGUAUUUAUUUUAACAUUUAUAAAUUGCUGUCAAGAUAGAACUAUACAAACCUCUAUAACAUAGAAGAAACGCUAUAAACAGUAUAAACUGAAGUGCAAUUAAAACUAGUUCAUCUCAAAAGAAACGCUAUAAAUAGUCAACUGGUAAUUUCAAUUAUAUUGACAGCCACAUAAAUAGUAUUCAGCAAAGAGGGUGAGAAAAUGAGAUAUGCAUACAAAAAUUCAACUUUGUCCUCCAAAACAUAAAUAGGCGUGCAUGAAUGCCACAACCUUGUUGGGAAAAAAAUCACGAAAUUAUAAUAUUAUUUACAAACAACAAAACAAUCGAAACUCAAUGAAUUUAAAUUUUUUUCAAAAAAAGAUGGAAAGUAUACAAAGUAAAAUUAUUUUAUAUAGUAGCAUUGUUGUCAAUGUAUCUAAUUGUUUCAAGUAGAAGAUCCAAUUGCAAGGGUUUGGUUAAAUGGUGGUCCAUGCCAGCCUCAAUCAUCCUUCUUGUUUCCUCGCCUUGUUCAUGAGAAGUUAAUGCAAUGAUCGGAAUGUGAACGUCGUAAGAUUUCUCCUCUUUCCUUAUCUCUCUUGCUGCUUCAAAUCCAUCCAUUAUUGGCAUCUGUUUGAACACCAAAACGACGUCGGAACUGUUAGAAUAUAAUAUGGGAAAGAAUUGAUUACUUAUAUAGUUUGAUAUUAAUAAGAGUAUUUACCUGGCAGUCCAUUAAUAUAUAAUCAUAUCCAUGUUUCCUAUGGGUGACUAGAUCAUUGCGAACUAGGUCUAGGGCUUCUCCUCCAUUUCCACAAAGCUUCACAGUUGCACCCCAAUGUGUAAGAGUUUUCAUAGCAAUAUGAGCUAGGGUUUUUUGGUCCUCAGCAACCAGAAACUUCUUCCCUCCCAAAGGCCUGCUUGGCUUAUCAGGUCCUUCUGUUUCUCUAUGUGGAAGUGGGCGGCCAUGAUCAACUGGCAGGUCUCUUGCUUUGGAGCUAACAUUGUGAGACUUAUGAUUUUGAGUUGGUGAAGACAAGGUUUCAAAUUCACGGUCGGUGUGAAACUGGUAUCUUGAUGAACUAGGGGCUCUGGAGACUUUUCCAACAUCAAAUGUGCCCCCUAAUCUCUUUGGCAGUGCACCUCCAUACUCUGGAAGAAGUCUCACCACUUCGUAUAGACGGGUACCGUGAAGCGCCUUGUGUUUGAUAACGUCGUCUGGAUCAAGGCUGUCAAAGUUAAUGUUGCUUUGUAUCAAUGGAUUUGCCAACCAAACAACCUUGCACCAAGCAUUUUGAAGGCUUUUUUGGAAUUCAGCUACAAUGUUACAUAACUCCUCAAAUGGUCCAGCUGUAGUAUCAAUCACUAGCAAUGUAAAGCAUGACGAUGUGCCACGAAGGUUCGUGCUAUUCUUCUUAAAGAGAGAGAUUAUGUUUUCUGUCCCAUCCAUUGCACCCAUCAAAGGGUGCACCUCCUUUAAUCUAAAGCUAGAGUUGCAUGAUGUGGAUUUGCUCAAGCAAUCUUGCAAACCCAAAUCAGAUAUUCCUGAAGAACUAUGGUGAUGAGAAUAGUACCCUUUCCCUUUGUGUUUUAUCUUCUUGAGAGUAGGACGAAGUUGUUCCCAUUGUUCUACCACCCAUGCUUUUAUCCCAAUACUCUCCAUGAACUUGUACACCAUUCUUCGACGCUCUUCAUUUUUUAUCAGCAAUACAACAUUGGAUCCCUCUGCCUUAGGACUCGAGGUACGAGCGGUCAGCCUGGGAGUACCGGGAGUACUGUGAAUGGCAGCUAUUCCCAAUUCAAGGUCGUCUUCUUUUCUUCUAUCCUUGUAGACAUUCUCACAUACAUUACUUAGAAGAACAUUAAACCUGAAGCAUGUCCCUCUUUCCCCAAUCUCUUUGUCCACAAUUCUUAUUUCGCCAUGCAUCAAACGUACCUAGUGCAAACAAAAAUAUCAAAUUUAACGCAUGCCCUAAAUUCAAGAAAUUCUUAAACAAGUUUAUAUUUUACUUACCAGAGAUUGAACAAUACCAAGUCCCAAGCCAGUACCUCCUUCUCCAAGAGCUGUUUCUUUGACUUGUACAUAGUUUUCAAACACUGCUUUUUGCUUCUCCUUUGGGAUUCCCUUCCCAGUAUCAUCCACCUCAAAAAUAAAUUCCAAACAAUUUGGAUCUUGCUGGACCCCAUUCAUUACUUCCAUGUCAACAUCUUGUGAUUUCUUCUUGUUUGAUAGAAAGCAUAGCAAUUUUUUCAAUACGGCACCAUUCCGGUCAGAAUUCGCAGCUAUAGAAUUCUUGAAAUCAGGUUUUUGGACCCAAGCACGAACUGUCACAUGCCCCUCUGAAGUAAAUUUAACGGCAUUGCUUAAUAAGUUGCACAAUAUCUGCUUAAGCCUUCCCCCAUCGCCUUUAACUCGUGCAAACUUCAUAACAGAGCCAUCAUGAGGAUCCAACACCACAUCUAUGCCUUUUUUCAAACCCAUAGGAUGAUACAAAUCAACUACAUCUUCAAGUAGCUGAGCCACAUCAAAUUCCUCUUCCACAAGUUGCAUCUUACCGGCUUCAAUUUUGCUUGUAUCAAGAAUAGAGUUCAAUAUACCUAUAUAUAUAUAACAAGUACUCAAACUGAUAUAUCAACAUGUAUAGAAGGAUUAAUUUAUUAACAACUGAGAAAAGAAUAUAUACGGGCGAUAUAACUUACCUAAAAGGUCCUUCGUACAAGUUUCCAUUUGUCUCAAAUUCGUCUCUAGUUCUGAACCUCGGGCUACUUCAUCGUAAGAUAUCUCGAUCAAACCGGUAAUGCCGGUGAGAGCAGCACGAACAUCAUGGCUUGCAGAAACAAACGCAAGACUUUUCCUCAUACUCUUCCUCUCAGCUUGUUGAGUCGCCUCCAUUUGUUGUAUGAGUGUGGCACAAAGAAGCAUCUCCCGUUUCCCAGCACUAAGCAUUACGAAAAUAUAACUCACACUGAAGACUCCCAUAAUAGCCAUCAUCACUAUUAGGAGUGUGAAUGCUACUUUGCUGUUCUUGUGAACAAAUCUCACUAGCCCACUCUCUGUGUAAGCAAAUGCAAGAACCUGAAACGUCUCGAAAAUUCUUGUAACAUUAAUUAAUUAUUAUGUAGAUUACAUGUAUAAUUAAUUAACAAAAUAAUUAACUGUAAAUUUUAGAGAUUAAACUUACAUUAUGCUCGAUAUGUUUGAUGAUACCGAUCAAUAAACCAGAAAGUACCAGCAUGCCAAUUACCUACAGUAGAGUUUAGUUUGAAUAUUUGUAAUGAAGUAUUAAUUAAGUGAUAAUAAUGAGAAAUUUAGAAGGAUGAGAAGAAAAAUUACCGACAAGACGAAGAAAACAUGCCGCAACACAGUCCAAUGUUGCAGCUUCAUUGGGUCUGCUAUUUGUUAGUUAACCAAAGAACUAUAUCCUGCAAGCUAAAAAGAAGUAGAUUCAACAAACAAACAAAAUCUAUUUAUUUAUCCUGAAAAACUAAUUUCAGAAAAUAAAUAUAAAAGACAAAAAGAAAAAGAAACUGGCAUAUAUUAGAGCAUUCUUAUAAACUCUCCAGUAAAAUUCCCAGCCAUAAAUCAGUACAACAUUUUGAGUUUGAAAUUUACCAUCUUUUAAACUAGCCACAAACCCUAGUUUUCUUGAAACAACACCCUUUAUUUUUAGAAGAAGCAAGAUUUCAUUAAAAAGGGAGCAAAGCAAAGCUGGCGGCUGAUUCCUCCAAACAGCCACUUGAUUUAACCCAGGGCAUAACGUACAAGCUUAUUUCUAAGGGCAUCAACGGAGUGAGCCAAUAGUGCUCUACAAUAUCUUGAAAAACAACCCUAAGAAAGACAAAUCUGAACCCCCUUUGUUCACUGCACCAACGACAACCCCAAUUCCUCUGCAAACCUCAUACCCUCCAAUUUGAUCAGGACACAGAGGUUAAAUUGGGAUAUAUAUAUAUAUAUCCCUCCCUGCUUUACAAUGCCAUCCGCACGAUAAUACGUGCGGACAUAGGGGGAGAAAAUAACUGUAUAUAUCUUAAACUGUGGACUCUGAAACAACAUCUCUUACACAUAAAUAUUUAAAUUGGGAUAUGGAUGCAAAAUCAAGGAUUUAUCUUCAGAAAUAAAUAAGCACGAAAUCCAGAUGUCACCUUUGGAUAUUGAGAUACUGGUCGAGUUGCUCUCACGCCAACUUUGCUUUACGUGGUAAAAUCUUUCCCCUCUUUGCACGAUCACUUGGAAGCGUUAUGCAGAUUUCUGACCAUCAGUUCCUUUGUAUUUGGUUUCUGUUUUCUCUUGCUGUUGUUUAUGGUUUUCUUCUCUCGUUAUUAGUUCUUUGCUGGGCAUCUGUUGCUUUCAGCUUUAGUUUUUGGCGUCUGUGCCCUUGCCUUCCUGUUUCUUUGUUUUUGUUUUGCCUUGCGUUGGAUGUGGAAUGAAGUAUCCUUUGAACAAAAAGCAAAAAAAAAACAGAGGGUAAAAUCUUUCCUCUUUUCCUAACUAGAGUUGUAUUUCCUUGCAUGGCUCCCAACCCUCACAAGGAAAUUAAAUUUUAAAUCUUUCCCUCCCUUUCAGCACUUAGCCUUUGUGUAUACACCCAAAUAAAAGACCAUAAAUCUUUCCUUUUUAUUUUUAUUUUUUAUUAAUGGGCAAAUAAACUUAAAUCUACAAAGAUUACUUACCCUUACAGAUUUCAGUCUUCCUUGCAGCAAAUCUCUCUCUCAUAACUCAAGCAGAUUGCUUAUUUAACUAGUAGAUCUUGAAUAUCAUAUCCAUAUCCUGUCAUAUUAGAUGAAACAGAACCAUACAAUCAAAAUAUGACUAAUAUGACUUUUUAAGCGAUAACCUGUUAUUAAAAAAUUUAAAAAACAAUUACGCAGAGCUUUUAAAAAAAUUAAAAAGAAAAAAGGUACAGACCCCACCCCACUCCAGGGCAGUUGCUCUUUUUAUCAGUUUCUUCGGCGCGUUUUAUUGAAAUAGGAUGAAAGCAAAACUGAAAUCGUCCAAAACCCACCAUGGCCCUCAAACUUGGAAACGCAUUUCCUCCCCUCCCUUAUUUCGCAGAGCAAGAAUCCUCAUCUCCUUGCUGCAUAAAAAGGUUUGAGGGUUUUUUUUUGUUUGUUUUUUUUUUCUAGGUUCGUUUCUUCAUUUGUGAUGUCGAAAAUUGAGAAGUAAAUCAUAAAUUGAGUUUGGUUUGUUGUUACAGGGAGGAAGAUUGAAGGAAAAAGAACUUGAGCAAUCAACAUUGGAACCCCCAGUCUGCUCAUCAAUCUGGUAGUUCAUGUCUUUGUGUGGCUUAUUUUCUCUUUGCCUGUGUUUAUUCCAGAAAAUUGGUAUAAAAUUAUGGUAUUAUUUUGUGUGCUUAUUUUCGUUUUUCUUUUUGUGAAUUUUCAGUAUUUGUAAGAUGUUGCAGUGUAUGAGAGAGUCAAGAAAAUUAUGGUAUGAUUUUGUAUGCCCAUUUCGUUUUUUCUAUUUUUGUGGAUUUUCAGUAUUUGCAAGAUGUUGCAGUGUAUGAGAGAGAGAGAGAGUCAAGAAGAGGCUGAGUAUGACGAGAUUCUUGGCAGGGGUUGAUGACUCGGUUGAGGAUGAGAGGGAUUUGGAUCAGAUCGUGGCCGACCGCAGAGCCGCAGAAAUCGAGCGUGAUACCCGCGACGGCGUACAACAACUCGCAAGCUCCCUCAUCUUCUCCAUGACCAAGGUAAGCUCUCAUCCAAACUUUAUUUCCGUCAAAAUUAAUGUCUCCGUACAAUUGGGAACCAAAGAUAACUGUAUUAGAUUGUAUGAUGAUGAUGUUAGUGUAUGUUGAUUCUGUUGGCAUUUUGGUUGCACAUACUGAUGAUGACUGCUACAGGCCUUCAAAAAGGGCGAUGGCUGAUUUCAGGCCUCCAAGAAUCUACGACGAUAAUGAUGGAAUGCAGAGUUCACCGGGAACGGAUACUCCAGAGAGGAUGCCCCAAUGACUGACCAGACUGAAGAUGAUGGCUAUGAGGUUUAGUUAUACAAAUCUUGCUUCUGACUUGGAUGACCUUUUACAUGAACUUCUUGAGUAAAUUUCUUCAAGCUUUUCUCAUUUUACAUGAAUUUCAUGUGCAGGAUGAUGAUGACCAAGAAGCCGAGUUUGAGAUGUAUCGUGUUCAGGGAACACUCAGGGAGUGGGUUACUAGAGAUGAAGUGCAAAGAUUUAUAGCCAAGAAGUUCAAAGAAUUUCUGCUCACCUUUGUGAAUGACAUUGAAUAUGUGCGCCUCAUUAAUGAGAUGGUAUUAGGUAAGGGCUUAGCUUUAUUUAACCGGCUCUUAUGCUCUGUUAACUGUACAUUGGCCAUUUGUACUUUUUAUCUCAAUGUGUUGUGCAAGCUACAUAAUGCCUCGGAUCUUUAAUUUGAAUUUUGAAUCAAUUCACUGUUGCAUUUUGUAGCCAAUAAGUGUAGUCUGGAGAUUGAUUACAAGCAAUUCAUCGGUACUCAUCUCAAUAUUGCCAUUUGGUUGGCUGAUGCUUCCCAGUCUGUCCUGGAAGUCAUGGAAGAUGUUGCCAAGAAUGUGGUGUUUAGUUUACACCCCAAUUACAAACGUAUCCAUCAAAAGAUCUACGUUAGGAUAACCAACUUACCUGUUUACGAUCAGAUUAGCAACAUUCAAUAUUGUGGAGAUUUUUUUUUUUUUGCUACCAUCUUUCCUACCUUUUUCCUUUGAGGUGUAAAUGUCAUCCUGCUCUUAUGGUGCGCAGGCAGAUCCAUUUAAUGAUGUAGAACAGAUGACAGAUUUUAUCGUGAUUGAGCUAGAAAAAGGACGUAGUGGGAAUAUGCAGAUUUGUCGUCCAAGCUCCGAUUAGGACGCAAAAUACCAUUUCGGAAAGGGAACGACGCCACGAGUGUAACUCACAGCUUUGCUGUGACAUAAGAUGGAUUUUGGCAUUCUGAGGUCGUUUGGCCUUCCAAAACUGCAGUUAAAGUUUGGUAGUUAAUUUUCCAAUAAAUUCUGUUUUGGACAGUUUAGGAGUUACGUUAUUAAAACUCCAAAUUAAUCCUGUUUUUUCAGUUUUAUGUAAUAACUCCCUAGUAGUUGAAGGGUUGAGGGUUGUUGAGAAUUGUGUAUUUAGACAGGUUUGUCUAACGUUUCUGGAACUCAGUUUUUAAUAACAUUAUUCCAAGAGAGGUUCUCUUAAUUUUCUGGUAGAAUCCAAUUUUUAUUGUUACUCAAGGUUUCGCUUGAAACCCUUUGUUACUUGUGCUGCGUCAUUUAAAUACCAUGAUUCAUAUUGGAGGCGUUGUGACCCGACGCUCUGGGGUCUUUCUCCAAUUGCAACAAGUAAAGUACGAUUGCAAUAAAUGUGGUUGGGGCCAUUCCUUCAGAACUCUUAUUCAGAAGUUAAAGUUGGUUCUUGCCCUGAAUGCCAAUCAAAAGGACUUUGGUUAGGGUCUAGGUUACUUAUGAAAUUAAAAAGUCUUUGGAAUUUUAUCUCAACAGAUGGAAUCGCCUCUCACCUCUCUCUCUCUGUG